UACUUAAAUAUAGACGUAUUUCAUUUAGAUAGCAUUAAGAUCUCCAAAUUAGUUGAUGGGAGAGAUGCUCAUGUGCAUGCCAUUGGGAAAAGAAACUAGUGGUGUACGAGUAGCCUCGCUAUCUUGAGCCAUUGUGAAAUCGUAGUUAGUAACAAGAUGGUGAAGAACAACUGCAACCUGAAGCCUUGCAAAUUCUGCACCAGGACACAGUCUCAUUCCACCUCCAAAUACCAUGAAUGACUUAGAAAAAUUAACCACAUCUUUGCCCUGUUUCACAUUUAUUUUCAUUAAUUUUUGCAUUCUUUAGAUGAUGUUAUUAAUUAGAUAUCAAAGAUUAGAAUCAGUAUAUACCUCCCAUCUCCAAGGAUUAAACUCUAAAGGGUUCUCAUAUAUCGCAGGAUCAUAAUGCAAUAAUGAAGUUGCAAGAAACACCAUCCAACCCUUUGGAAUCGUAUAUCCUGUUACCAAUUUCGCACCACAAAAUGUUUAUUUAAGAAAAAAAAAAACUUUGAGAAUAUGUUUGAAUAAGUGGUCGAAUUUUAAUAGUAUUACUUGCCUUGAAUUGUAACAUCUACCAAAGUCUUUCUAAACAUUACAGGAGCCAUAUUUACCAGCCUAAGAGUCUCAUUAAUCACCUGCAUUGCAACAUAUUCUUUGUGUUUUAUUAUUUAUCAUAUAUAUAUAUAUAUAUAUAUAUAUAUAUAUAUUGUAAUUGAAAUUACUAAUAUAUUAGUAAAAAAAUUCUCUAUAACCACUUUCAUGUUCAUGGAUGUGCCUUAUAUUCGUGGCUAUAAAAACCACAAAUUAUUUAAGUUACGACGUUAUAGCCACGAAUAAUAUAGCGUAGCCGCAAAAAAUCAAGUGGCUAUAGGGAUAAUUUUUACUACUAUAUAUAUGGAUAUCUUUUUUUCCAAAUAUAUAUAUAUGGAUAUCUAAAAGUUACCAUUUUGGUGAAACUCAUGUUGUUUUUGUACUCUUCCCAACUCACUCCAGAGUUCUUAUCAACUCUGUUUUGAAGGAUAGCAUUAUGCUCUCUCUGCCAUAUUUAUAAGCAUAUAAUGUCAUACCCAUGCUUCAACUCUAAGAAAAAUUGUUAGCUAGCUAUAUGUGUAUAUAUAUUAAUUAUUACCUUCAACUCUAAGUAAACUUUAGGGUUACUUGUAAUGUAUUUUACUGCCAUGGAAAUCAUCACAGAAGUAGUAUCUUUAGCGGCGAUCGGAAUAACGUAGGUUUGGAAGAUAACGUAUUUGUCAUCUAAAACUUCAUCUUCCAUUACCGUGUUGAGGAUAUCGUCAUGCUUCUCUCCCGAUUCUUUCCUUGAUAAGAGAACAUUACUUAUCACCUUCUUUACGGCUCUGCUUGCCUGGAUGCAGUUGAUAGAGACAAUAUUUAGACAUUUGGAGAAUUCUCUUAAAUACCACUAAAACUUGCAUUUUUGGAUAAUGAGUUCUAUUCUCCAAAAAUACCACUAAAAUACUUUUUUCCAAAAAUACCAGAUUUUUAAAUCUUACCAUUCAAAACUAAUUUCUAAAUCCUAAACACUAAACCUUACCCCUAAAAACUAAACCCUAAAUAUAAGUCAACCCAAACAUAAAAAAUAAUAAUUCUACACCUUCAGAAAUCAUAUUUUUAUGUCUAUGGUAUUUUUGGAAAAAUAACCUUUUCGUGGUAUUUUUGGAAUAAAAAAAAAUUGUGGUAUUUUUGAAAAAAAACUUAAAAUAUGUCAUCCAAGGGAAUUUCUUUAGAAAUUGUGGUAUUUUUUGUUUUCAAUAUAAUGCAAUAAAUAUAUACAUAUAUGUUACAUUUUUAUCUAAUUAAAUGAACCAUUUUAGGAUUUACUACAUUGAAAAAAAAUCCUAUAAUAAUUACUUACCGUAAAGGAUCUAUACAAUGAUUUCCAGGUAGAAAGACUAAAGAAAGACUGAUACCAAUCAAGAUUGAAGGCCAUAAAGAUGUCCAUCAGAUUUUCUUGAGCCUCUGCUCCGAGGUUACUUAUCAACUUGGGAAUCAAGUGCUUAAUUAUCAACUACAAAAGUAGCAUACGACAAAGAAACAUAUUGUUAAAUCAUUUUAGUUCAUCAAUACCAACAAAAACAAAAAAACUUAUUAUGUACAUACGCUUUCAGCUGCCUCCUUAAGAUUGAAGCUCCCCAAGCUAGCCUUUGAUCUAAGACCCUCGCAGGCUGCUCGGUCCAUGCCUCCUAUCAACUUCUUCUUUAAACCCUCAGGGCCAAGAAAGUUGAGUGUGAUUUGUUUGAAAUGCUUGUGGGUCUUCCCAUGAUUGACUAUAGCAUCAUCUUUUCCUAAUACUAUGCCAAACGCAUCCGGAAGGCUAAAUACAAAAGCCGUGUUCUCUUGUCGAAAAACCUCGACCAUUACAUCAGGGUCUGUCACUACCACGGUGUUGGAUCCAAAAAUGUUGGUCCGAAAUAUUGGCCCAUACCUAAAACGUUCACAAGAUUACAUAAGAUUUGAUAUUUUUUUACUAAAGGAUAUAAUUUGUUAUGGUCACGGGUCUGAAAAAAUGUAUGGACUUCGAUAUAAAACUUCUUAGUUAUUAAAAAAAUAAAUAAACAUACUUGAUGUUUUAAUAUUUUACCUGGACAUUCUCUUGCUGAUAAAGGGUGAAGUCUCGUUGAAUCCAUAAGACUUAAAGAAGUCUAGUGUCUCUCCGAUGAUCGGAAGCCCCAUUGUUCCCGGAGGUAACUUGCCAUUGCACUUGGGAUUUGACCAUCGGUACCACCAUCUACUGAUCAGUACAACAACUAAAGCUGUAACACAUAUUGAAACGUUCCAAAUCAUGUUCAUUUUAGUUUGGAACUAUAGCGUUAUAAGUUUGAAGAGUUAUUAGCUUGGAACUAUAGCGUCUCUUAUAUAUAGAAGAAGAAAUGGUCGAACAUAAAUAAAUAAUAAAUAAUAAUAAUUUAUAUAUUAAACCAAUAAAAAUCAUAGUGAAAUGAAAAUAAGAUUCAUAUUGGAAAAUGAAAGUUAAAGAACGUUUCCUUUUUUAGCCGACCGCUACAUUAAUGGAUGAUAGCAAGAGAACCAAUCAACAUCAUAAUUAUUAGAUGUAAUAAUGGCAUUUAAUGUAAAAGGCAUUAUAUAAAGUUUUUAAAUUAUGGUUAUAUUUGUAAAAUUUUAAGGGAAAUUAUCAUUUUAAUUUUUCUACCAAAUAUACCACAAAAGUUUUACUUUUCAAAAAACACAAAAAACAUAAAAAGAUGAUUUUUUUGAAUAUGUAGAAUUAUCUUUUUAAUGUUUGUGUUGUUUAUUUAUAUUUAGGGUAUAGUUUUUACGGGUAAAGUUUAGUUUUUAGGAUUCAGAAAUUAGUUUUGAAUGUUAAAAAAUUAGUUUUAGUUUUGUGGUGCUUUUGGAAAAAUACAUAUUAUUAUGGUAUUUAAGACAAUUUUCCAAUUUUAAAAGAAUAUAAACUCAUUGAGUUUUAUUAUAGAGGAGUUCCAAACAAUUAUAUAUAUAUAUAUAUAUAUAUAUAUUACUAUCUGAAUUUUAUAUCUGUAAGUUAAGAAAAUAUUAAAAUGAAAUCAUUGAAUUAAAAAUGAGAAAAUACUUUUUUGAAAAAAACUCAUUAAUUAACAAUUAUUUUGGAUUUGUUUUCUAAUUCAUAUCCUUGAUCAAACAAAUUUUACAAUAGAAAACACUGAAACACAUGUUACCUUAUCUUGUAAGUAUGAGAUUACGGGGAAUGUGACAUCUUGACGUUUGUGUGAUUUUUCUAUAAUUGCUCAUACCAUAUCAUAUCAUACCAUAUCAUAUCAUAUCAUUAUGGGGUAUGUGACAUCUGUGACCCUUAUCACAUCGAAGGAUUCAACAUAUUUGAUUGGUGGUCAUUGGUUUGCUCACAGAUACAACAAGAGGUUCCUUGAUAAAUCUUCGUGUUCGUCGCCUAUCAGUUUAAUCAAAAAUCAAAAGUAAUGUUAUGUAUGAGACAACAAAAUAAUGUAUUAUCUUGUUUUUUUUUUUUUUUUUUUUGGACAAAAUGUAUUAUCUUGUUUAUGUCGGAAAUGAUACUUGGAUUCAUGGUGAACCCUUCUAUUCACUCUUUUUCACUUUUAGCCAAUCAGAAUAUGUCACAAAACUUGGGUUCACCUUAGACCAUCUCCUAUUAGUGAAGUUAUUAACUAUUUUUUAUUAAUAAAUGGUGAUUAAAGUAAAGUUAAUAACUUGUUUAGGAUUCAUUAAUUUUUUGGUUGUCCAUUGGUGAAUUUCGUUAGGGGUAUAUGAAAAUAAAUAUUUUUCUUGUUUGAUAAAUAAUAGGUUUUAAGUAAAAUAAAUUUUAAAAGCAAUUUUAUAAUAAAUUGGUACAAAAUAAAUUUUAUUAAGAUUCGAAAUUAUAUUGCGUUGCAUGAAAUUUAAAGCUUACAAAAUAUAGAGAUGAUUUCAUACAACAUUUAGUUGAAAUCUUAAUUACAAUCAACGUGUACAAGUCUUUAUGCUGAAUUUCCCAUAUGCUCUUUAUGGGUGUAUCACAAUCUUCAAUCACAACUUGGAGCCAUCACAGGUCCACCAACUUGUAUGCAUCACGGGUCCACCAACUUGUAUGCAUCACGGGUACCAUAUCAAUCUUACAUCAAUCACACAUACACAAGAUAAAGCUUAUGUGUUCUGUCCAAAACAGUAAUAGAUUCAAACACAUUGAGACAACAAUCUAACACUUUGACUCUAUACUUGUCUUUCAUGAGUUACAACAACAUGACAGUUCAAUUUCAGUCAUAGUUCCUCCCCAAGUCUAUUAUGUUCUGUCAUAGUUCAAACACCAAUAACACACAAUGAUAAAAGGAAACAGAGACUUGGCCAAACAAGAAGACAUGAAACUCAUACACUUUUGAGAAAGAAAGAAAGGUUCCUCAAACUAUAAAACAAUGUCUAUAAAGCAGAAACACAUUAUCAUCACUUUCGGUAAAAUCCUACUUAGGUAAUGAAAGAAAUAGACAUUUUUGACAACCAAGACUAUUACCUUUAAGAGUAAGAGAUGACAAAACCAGAAGGCAAUAGAAAUAAUACCUUUCAAACCCUGUAAAUGAUCAUCUUUGUCUUUAAUGAAUUUCUUAUGAAUCUCCUCAAACUUGGCAGCUUCAUCCUUCAAGAUAUUCUCACACUGCAAAUAUGAAUCAGAAUUUAGCUUAUUAUACUUAUAAAGACUCAAUUAAGUUAUUAAUCAUCUUGGGAUCUUUCUUUAGAACUCCUUUGAACUCUUUGAAAGUGCUUUGGCAAAGUUUUGUCUGCAUUUUGUAAAUCAAGGAGAGAAAAAUAUCAACAUUUGUAUCUCAUCUUCCAAACCAACAUUCACAAAAGCAUGAAGGAUAAGAUGUAAUAGCCUACCUUUCUUUCUCAAGCUUUGACUUCAACUCGUCAAUCUUUAACUUAACCUCAGUGGACACACUACCAAAAGGAUACACAAGGAUUAUAGCAAGAUUAAGCUAUCAAACUAACGACACUUAAAGAGCAUUCAUUAUAACUAAGUUUUGCCGAUAAAAAACAAGAAUGUUUAAAAUCCUUAGAUUUGAUAUAAAUCAACCAAGGACUUCAUAUCAAUCAAAUAUGUGCUUUCUUGUUUAAGGAAUACAACAGCAUACCUCAACUACUACCACAACAGAUGAACCAUAAAAUGCUAGAACUGAACACCUUAGCUUUAUCUAGCUCUAACUACAUGAUAAAUUUGGUUUUCCAUAAUAAAUUCAGACUAAUCCAUAUACAACAAGCUUUAUAUCUAUCGAUCAAUACAAGAGCAUACCACAAUCAAUUGCACAACAGGUCAACCAAUAUCAAAAUCCUAGAACAAAUUAUCGAACACCAUAACCUAAUCGGAGAGAAACAUGUAACGAAGAGAUAUAUCUUCUCUUUGGAGAUGCUCUUAUAUUGACAUAUUCACACACUCUUAGCUUAAACUAAUAAAACUAGAGUAAUAUGUCACGUCUAUUUUAUUUAAAAACAAAAAUAAAAUAUAAAAUACAAAAUAAAAAAGAUUAUGGAAACAACAUAUGUAUACAUAUAAACAUCAUUUAUAAACCCAAACGGAUAUGUAAUUUUGUUUUAGUUGUAAAAUCUAAACCCUGACCAAUUUUAUAAACCCAAAAUGAUAAAUUUUGAUUUAGUUGUACAAUCUAAACCCUAAUCCUCCUUUAUAAACGCAAACCGACAUAUAAUUUGUUUACUUGUAAAAUUUAAACCCUAAUUCUCUUUUAUAAACCCAAACAAACAAAUAAUUUUGUUUAGUUGUAAAAUCUAAAGCCUGGUAUUUAUUUAUAAACCUAAACUGAAAUAUAAUUACAUUUAAUUAUAAAAGUUUAACCCUAAUAUUCCUAUAUAAACCUAAAUUGGCAUAUAAUUUUGUUUGAUUGUAAAAUAUAAAUCCUAAUCCGUCUUUUAUAAACCCAAAUUGACAUAUAUUAUUUUUAAAUAAAAAGUCUAUAGAUUUUGUUUCCUUAAUUUUUUUUAUUUAAGGGGAAUUUAGAAAAAUACCCCUUUUCAAAAUACCCAUUUUCAAACUUUAUCAAAAAAGCCAUUAAAAUAAUUUUAAUUUUUUUGUUUUGAUUUAUUUUUAAAAUAUAAUAUGAAGUGGCAUAUUACUCCAAUUUUAUUGGUUAAGCUAAUAGGGGAUAAAUAUGUAGGUUCUUCACUAGGGGUGAACCCAAGUAUUUUUUGUCACCUAAUUAAAAUAAAUAAAUUUUAAUAUUAUACAUAUAAAAUAAGAUCAUUAACAAAAAUAUUAUAUAGUUAAACUCAAACUGACAAAUAAUUUCGUUGAUUGUAAAACCUAAACCCUAAUUCUCUAAUAUAAACUCAAACAUAUAUAUAUAUUCUUGCUAAUUAUAAAACCUAAGGGAUUUGCAAAAAUAAACUUUUUACCAUACUCUUUUGCAAAAAUAUCUCGUUAUCCAUUUUGAAACAAAAACCCUCUUCUAAGUACAGAAUGAUUAAAUUACCCUUUUUCAAUGGAACUCAUGAUGGAGAACAUAUUAUUUGAAACCCGACCCGUUUUUUUUUUGGAGUACAUUCAUAACCGGAUUUACACAAUUAAACCAAGCUAAACCACACUAAUUCUAUUUAAACUACCUAAACCGGACUAAAUCAAUUUAAACUAACUAAACUGGACUAAAUCAAUUUAAACCAACUAAAGCAGACUAAACCAGAUAUCCAGAACAAACCAUUCCAAACCAAGUAAUAACCAGCGGAAGAAAUUUAAAUUAACAAUCCAAUAACCAAAAGCAUCAAAGAAACAAGUCAGCCAAACCAGCAAUCACCGAAUUUCUGAUAACAUAACACCCUAACAUGCUUCUAAGUUUUAGAACUAAACAUUCCUAACAAGGUCAUAACAUAAAAAGCAUAAAACAUCAAGCGAGCCCCUAGAUCAUUACUCUCUCCUCGCCUUGAUUCCACAGUCACACUUUGCCUUUACCUCCAUCAUAGAAAGAAAUGCAUAAGUAUUUCUAGAAAUACUCAGUGUGGCACUCAUCCCAACUACUAGGAUAUACAAACUACUGGACUGUACACACAAGCAGUAUAAGUCAUAUGCAAACAAUAUUACAAUACAAAGCAAACAAUUAACAAAGUUUAGCCACUGCUGUGAACUGGUGUCGGCCGACACUCGCUCCUGAAAACACGAACAAACGAGUAUUGUCGAUUGUCACUGAAACCCUAACAUCACUCCAAUCGCUUCUCAUUGACGGAUCUCUUUCUCCUGGCCCUCCAUAGCCGGUUAAGACUCUCCCAAUGGACGUACAUAGGUACCACAACACAGAAAACAGAAAUACAAGCAAGGAAAUCAAUCAACAAUCAUAAAAAUCACCCAAAACAUGGAUCAAAAACUGCUUAGAUAACUCUUGGUCAUGCACUCACCUCUUUAAAUGAACAACAUCAAAACAUCCAAACAACCAUGGAUUUAGCCUUCUCUAGCCUAGAACUAUUAAGAACCAGUCUCAAACCUCAUUGGAAACUCACAAUACCUCACUAGAGAACACUUAGAAACUUUCACUCUCUGAAAUAUGCAAAAGCAGCUGAAAAGAACCAUAAUCGACUUCUUCUUCUUUUAAAAGUUGAGCCCUAGGGUUAAACCAACCCAAACCAAAUCGAUUUUGCAAUUGAAAUUAAUUUGGUCCAACCAAAAAAUAUUUUGGUGUCGACCAACACCACCCAUUUUCGAACACAUGUGUUAGAAUAUUCCAUCCAAAAAAAUUUCCGCCAAAAGUUUUCUGGCAAAAAAAAAGUUUGUGUUAAAAAUAAAAUUUGACCGGAAAAUUUGUGUCGGAAAAAUUUUGGCGGGAUAGUUUUGGAAGGAAUAGGAAUACAAUAUUAUUUUCUCCAUCAUGAAUUGCAUUAAAAGGGUAAUUUAGUAAUUUUGUACUUGGAAUAGGGAAUGUUUUUUUCAAUGGACAACAAGAGGGGUUAUUUUUUCAAAAAGGAAUGGUAAAAAAAUUAAUUUGCAUAUUCCCCUUGAAAUAAAGUAGUAGGUUUAGAGGUUUUUUGGUUCCUAUCAAAUUAUAUAAAUUUUCAAAAUCUUUUUCCUCGCAAGGUAACGGUAACGGGUGGCAAAAAAAAUAAAAAUACGUAAACAACAAAAUCAAAAUAUAUCAUCAAGAAUAAUAUAUUCACGUUAAUUCUCAAAAAUUAUUAGUUUUUUUAACUUUAAUCUCCCAAGAAUAAUUAGUUUUGUUUCACUUUAAAUUUUUUUUGUUUUCGUUUUUAUUAAUCAUAUUCAUUUUUCCAUCAAUAUAGGUUUCGAUGUUUUUAAAUCUCUUAUAAUUAAGGGAGAAUUUCAAAAAUACCCAUUUUCCAAUACCACUUUUUAAAAACAGUCAUCUUCCUAAUUUUAAUCAAAAUACCACUUUUUAAAAACAGUCAUCUUCCUAAUUUUAACAAAAAUUUUAAUAAAAUUUGAAAUUUAUCAAAAAAAUAUGUGUAAGCUUAUAUUUUAUAGACACAUAUUAUCUUUAUAUGUGUGUAAAUUUAUAAAUAUAUAUAUAUAUAUAUAUAUAUAUAUAUAUAUAUAUAUAUAUAUAUAUAUAUAUAUAUUACUUANNNNNNNNNNNNNNNNNNNNNNNNNNNNNNNNNNNNNNNNNNNNNNNNNNNNNNNNNNNNNNNNNNNNNNNNNNNNNNNNNNNNNNNNNNNNNNNNNNNNAUAUAUAUAUAUAUAUAUAUAUAUAUAUAUAUAUAUAUAUAUAUAUAUAUAUAUAUAUAUAUUUAUUUCAUAAAUACCUUAUAAAUACAUUUUAAAAACCUUUUAAAAAACAUUUAAAAACCUUAUAAAAACUUUGUAAACUUUUUAAAAACCUUAUAAAUGUCGUUUAGAACCUUUUAAAAACCUUAUAAAAACUUUGUAAACCUUUUAAAAACCUUAUAAAUGUCGUUUAAAACUUUUUAAAACCUUAGAAAUAUUUGGAUUUAGUAUCACAGAACCUUUUAAAACGAAAAGAUUGACUUUAAGAAAGCCAAUGAAGGGGACAAUUGUUUACAAACUUAGCAGCAUACGGUAAGACUCGUACUUUACGGGCCAGAUUAUCCGCAACGCCAUUUGCACUCCUUGGGAUAAGAGAAAGAGUAAAGUUGAGAAUUCUUCCCUAUCAACUUGGAUAUCGUUCAGGUACACAGAGAAAGCCGGCCACUCUGAAGGAGAAGACACCAUCUUCACCAAAUAGGAACAGUCCGUCAAGAAAACAACAUCUCUGAAGUCGUGGCUAAUCAUACAUCUCAUGCCCCACACCAAAGCCUCCACUUCUGAAUGAAGAGGGGUGAGGCUUCGUCGGAGGUUGGAGGCCCCCAUAAACAUGGAUCCAUCAUGAGCUUGCUAACAACACCAUCCUAUACUUGUAUACUUAUCUGUAUCUUUCCAAGAACCAUCAAUAAAACAUAUAUAACCAAAAGAGAUGGGCGCAAAAGUCGGAACACUUCCGAUUGUCCGAGGACCAUCACCCCGGGCCUCCACUACCUCAUUUUGGUCUUCAACUUGUGCCUCUCGCCAAGCCUUUGCUUCAUAUUGUGCUCGUUUAGUGACAUCCAACGGACAUUUGUCCACAUUCUCAAACAUUUUACCAUUUCUAGCUUUCCAUAUAUACCAUAAUAACCAAGGGAAAAAAUCAAACUGUGCAUCUGAAGUCGAUAAAACCUGAAGAUAAUCCAUAUUUGCAUAUAUAGACGUAGUCGGGAAUUGAUUAGGUCCCACUAGUACCUGGGCUAGCGCCCAGGAUUGUCGAGCUGGUGAACAUUCAAAAAUUGCGUGAUUAACUGUAACAACCCGCCCAAUGGGAUUCCGCCACAUGGCACACCCCGCCACAUGGCAACCUUACAGCGCUGCACCGCAUCGACCCUAACCUCUCUCUCGUGGGCCCAAACUGCGCAUGUAGGCACUCUCUUGGCCCACAUGCACUCCUGGCCCACCAGCUCCAAUAACCUACCUGGUGGGCCAGGAGUGCAUCUGGGCCAGGAGAGUGCCUACAUGCGCAGUUUGGACCCACAUGAGAGAGGUUAGGGUCGAUGCGCUAGCGUUACUCGAACCCAGGUCCUCACCCUUUAACAACAUUCCCACCAGACAAGUUGUCACCAAUUGACCUGCAGAUCAAUUGGUGACAACUUGUCUGGUGGGAAUGUUGUUAAAGGGUGAGGACCUGGGUUCGAGGAACGCCAGGCGCACCAAUAACCUACCUGGUGGGCCAGGAGGCUGCGAGCAAGUGGGCUAUGCAGUUUGGGCCCACAGGAGAGAGGUUAGGAUCGAUGCGCUGCAGCGCUUUUAGCUGCCAUGAGGCGGGGUGUACCAUGUGGUAGCGGUUCCCACCGGGAUGGGUUGUUACAUUUAAAAGUUCCCACCAGACAAGUUGUCACCAAUUGAUCUGAGUACCACACCGACUACAUAGUAUAUCGCAAUUUAUUCCUCGCCUAUUUAAAUUUACGGAUACUGAAAUACAACCUGUUAGUAGCUGCCACAUAAAAUGUUGUAUCUUAGGUGGACAGCGUACUUUCCAAAUCUUGUUAGUAGCCGUAAUAUACUAGUGUGAUUGUAUAUUUUGGAUCAGGCAUCCGAGCUGCAUAAUAGCCUGAUUUAACUGAGUACUUCCCAGUCUUUGUGAAAUUCCAUCCUACCGCAUCUACCGUUUCCGUUUGACCUAUAGCUAGGGCACUUAUCAACUCAACAUCGCUUUGCGCGAAAAUAGCUUUGAGAGUCUCAAUCUUCCAUGUACCUGAUUGAUAAUCAAUCAAUUGACGUAAUUGAAGAGAUGGAUCCAUAACAUCCAUUACACAUAGCUGGUCUCGGGAAUUGAGCUGGAAUCCAAGGAUCUCUCCACACUGCGAUGGUGUCCCCCGUUCCAACUCGUUUAAUAAGCCCUUGAUUUAUCAGAGAUCUAGCUGAGAUAAUACUUCUCCAUCCAUAAGAAGGAGAGUACGAUCUUAUAGGGUCCACUGGACAUGAAUUCCUGUAAUACCGACUUUUAAAAACCUUUGCAAAUAGGGACUCCGGAUACUCCAUCAGUCUCCAUAAUUGUUUAGCCAAAAGUGCUGUAUUAAAAUCAUUAAUAUCACUAAAUCCGAGCCCGCCUAAAUGCUUACUUGAACACAUUUUCUCCCAGGCUCGCCAAUGCAUCCCCCCUGAAUGACCACUCGUACUCCACCAAUAUUGCGCCACCGCACUGGUGAGUUUGGAUGUAACCGUUUUCGGUAACCUAAAGCAGGACAUAAUAUAAGUCGGUAAUGCAGAAGCUACCGAUUUAAUCAUUAUUUCCUUACCUCCCUUAGAUAACAAUUUAGUCGACCACCCAUUUAAAUGAUUGUCCAAUUUAUCCCUGACAAAGGAAAACACCUAUGUUUUGGCUCCUCCUAGACUCUCUGGAAGUCCUAAAUAAGACCCCAUUCCUCCUAAAUUAGUAAUCCCGGUAAUCCCCUGCAUUUCCCGUCUUAUAGAUUCCUCCACCUUAUGACCAAAUUGGAUGGAAGACUUCGUAAAAAUUAUUUGUUGUCCGGACGCCAUCUCAUAUUUCUUCAGAAAUCCCAAAAUAGCCUCACAUUGAUCCCGUGUAGUUUUACAGAAAAAUAAACUGUCAUCCGCAAAUAAUAGGUGCGAGAUAGGUGGACACUUAUUCGCCACUUUGAUCCCCGUGAUUAAUUUAUCCUGCUCAGCUUUCCAAAUAUUACUGAUUAUAACCUCUGUACAUAAAAUAAAUAAAUAUGGUGAUAAAGGAUCCACCUGUCGGAGUCUUCUCUUUGGUGUAAUGGCCCCGUGAGGCUGACCGUUUAAAAGAACACUAUACUCCACCGAAGUCACACAAUACAUAAUCCAAGUAAUCCACUUUUCUGCAAAACCAAAUUUCCUUAAUAACCAUUCAAUAAAAACCCAUUCAACCCGAUCAUAUGCCUUACUCAUAUCAGUUUUAAUAGCCAUAAAAUUAUUCUUGCAUGACACAUUCGUACGUAAUCCGUGGAAUAUUUCCUGUGCAAUCAAAAUAUUAUCAGAAAUCAAUUUUCCUGCCACAAAUGCCGAUUGUGUCUCAGAGAUAAUAUUCGGAAGAACCAAUUUAAGCCGCUGGCAUAGGACUUUUGAGAUAAUCGUAUAUCCAACAUUACAUAUUAGACGCAUCUCCGACAUUCGAGUCGGCCUCUGCACCUUAGGUAUUAAACAUAUAUUCUCAAUAAUUAUAUAUUAUAUAUUUUUGGUAAUUUUUUGUUCGACUGAUGUCGCUAGUUAAUCAAUCAUAAUCUUUUGCAAGGACUCACAUUUCAUUCGUUAAAUCAGUUAUGGUUACCAUAAAAAAAUUCAAAAAUUCAGCUGGAUUCAGUUAAAAGUCACUAAAUAUUAUGCUCAUUCAGCAAUUCAGCUAGAUUCAACAAAAAUUUCUCGGUUACUAUUUAGAUCCUUAGUCAUUUAAAUUUUUGAUAUUGCUCAAACCGUAACCAUAGUGUUUAAACCAAUUAAUUUUUUUUUUAUCAUCUUUAUUUUUAUAUUUUAUUCAUAAAACCGUUUACAUUCCGAUUAUGUAAUUAGGCGCUAGAUGUUAGGUUACCUCCCACUUAUCACCUAGCGCUUCCUUAAAAAUUGUAAAAUAUCUAUUCUAGAACUUGAAGAUAUAUAAAAUGGGUUGUUUAUUCUCUAAUAGUUGCUAAAAUAAAAUUAAAAUCCCCGUCGCCAUUUUUGUAACUUAACCCUCCAAAUCUAGAAAAUGCAAGUCAAUCCUACAAAAUCGAAAUAAAUAUGCAAUAUAGCCUAUUUUUGUUACUAUCAUGUUUGUAAAACUUUUAGGAAUAUAUAUAAAAUUGAAGCCUUCAUGACUAGAAGUUCAAAUCUAUCUUUAAAGUUUUAGAAAAUAAAUGUACAUGACCGUAAAAUUUCUUAACUAGUAUGAUUUUUUUUAUAUGGAGAAUAGAGUUAUAAAAAUUGACGCCAUGAAAAUUUUAUUUGUACAAAAUUCUAUUAAACAAUACGGAUAAAGAAAUACAAACCUCUAUGAUGGUUAAUUGUAGGGUAAGCUGACUGCAGCUCAUUUAAAAACCUUUCGAAACAACCACUCGGAAAUUUACUUUCUUUAACUACAUUUAAUUCAAACACGUUAUCACAUAUAUCAAAUAUUUCUUAUAAAAAUUCAAACAUAUAGUAUACGAGGAGUGUAUUCAAAAUGGAAUUUUAAGAGAUUUGAGUUUUAUUGGGUUUUUAAAUGAUUUUGAUGAUUUUAGGGAAGUUAAUAUGACUUUUGUAAAAUCAUUUUAAAUCUCACCAAAAACCAUGGGAUUUGGAUUUCUGUAUUUUUAACUAAGGAAAUCCUCCCAAAUCCUCUGAAAUCCUUCAAAAUCAUUAAAAGUCAAAUCCACAAAUUUUUUUCAAUAACAAUGGAUUUUAAGGUGGAUUUUGAAAUCAUUAGUUGAAUAACAGUAGAUUUCAUUAGACUUUUUAAAAUUCAUGUUUGAAUAACAGUAGAUUUGUAAACUUUUUACAAAUCAAUUGAAAUUUCACUUUGAAUACACCCAAGUAUUUGGAGGAUUUGUUCUCUAUACAUAUAACUGGAGGAUUUGGCAGCGAUAUAUAAUAUAAAGAAACAAAAACCUCUAUGAUUUGUUAAUUGAUGCUGACGCUCCAUGUUAUUUAUCUGACGUUGCAUGUUAUUUAUAAUAUAUCGCAACCUGCAAACUCCAUAAAUUAAAAUAUGAUUACAAAUUAGGGUUUUAUGAUAGAGUAUUACUGCUCUAUAUACCCAAAAGAUUGAAAAACAAAAAGCAAGGUCUCAAUAAUAAGUUAAUUAGUUAUCUUAAAAUGGACAAAAAUACUCUUUCGUAGUUAACAAAAUAUAUAACGACAUAAUAAAAUAAUUAUCGACGAUAUUGUUUACAAAGACACAAGUAAAAUCAUGUGAUAAGUUUGAGAAGAAUCUAAAAAUAGUUUAGAAAUAUUUAAUUUAUCUUUUUCUCUAAAUAUAUUAUUUACAUUAAUCUUUAUCUUCCGAAAUUACUAUCUAUAUAUAUAUAUAUAUAUAUAUAUACUUUAAUGAAUUGUGUAUACUUUAUAUAUAUAUAUAUACUUUAAUGAAUUGUGUAACAUCGUUUUUAAUUUCUUAUUUGUGAAUCUAAUAUGAUUUUUUUCUAAAUAUUUUUAUGUUUUUUACUCUCGUUAAUUUAUCAUGAUCUUGGAAUUUUGGUCGUAUCUCCCAAUAAAAAAAGUGAAAAAAGAAGAUAUAUUAGGGCGAAUGCAUAUAAAAUUAGUUUCAACUCUGGAGGCCCUAUGAGGUGAAUAAGGAACAUAUAUUAUGAACAAAAUCAGAUUUAGAAGAAAUAACAUGCAGCGUCAGCUAAAUACCCUACAAUUAGCUGUCAUAGAGAUUUGUUUUUCUUUUUUAUUCUUUUACCAGUUAAUAGAUUACAAACAAAUCACCCAAAUAAUUUAAAAAUCUACUAAUCACGUGUUAGGUUCACAAAAAUAUUAGGUAUGGCUUAAUUAGUCAAGGUUGUCUCGCCCAAAAUGUGUAUUAGACUCAACAUGCUCUACGCAAUCCUUGGAAAGGGUUCAAAGAAAUGUUAUAAACAUUCAUGGGAACAACAUAACCAUUGAUCACUAUAUGAAGAAUCAACAUUCCAAAGUCUAUGGACACUCCUAUACCCUCAUAUGACCACUGUCCUUAGACGUGAUUCCGACCGUCGUUUCAAAUAUAUUACUCUUCGCACCUAACAAGAUAUGAUUAGAACAAAAAAAGUUUGGGUUUCAUUAGCGGGUCAAAAAAUCCGCCCGUUUAUCCGUUUUCUAAGUUGUUUGGCAACAGAUUUACGAAUUUUAUACUAUAGUUUUCAUUAGAAAAACUUUAAAUCUCUCUGUUUGGCAACAGGUUUAAAUCGCUUUUUUUUUUAAGUAGUGAUAUUUCUCUUUGAUGCUAUGCCCAAUAAUUUUGUUGUGAGAUAAACAAGAACAACUAACCAAAGCUUUACCUUAUUACUAAUAUUUCACAAAACAAAACAAAAAAAGAUUUAGCUUUGUAAACCAAUGUUGAAAAAAGACACGACCAUGUUCAUUUCUGUCUUUUUCAGACACAUUCCAAUCUCCACGCCACCCGUUUCAUCACGUCGCUCUGCCAUCGAUAUCGCACCUUGGUCAAUAGAGGCAAUAUCAACCUUAACGGGUCUUCCCCACCCGAAAUCCGCCUCGUAUACUCCCAACCGGGUUGACCCGGCUACGGUCACAAACUGUGUACUCCAACUCUGAUAACCAAAUGCUUCCACAAAGGAGUCCGCUAUAGUCUCUACCUUUCUUGAAGUCAACCCUUUGACCAAAUCACUAAGUAUCUCAACCGCCGUAACAAACCCUUUCUCUACCAUAAACUCCGACGCCUUACGGUUAUAACAACCCACCGGAAACAUGCAGUUUCCGAAGUAAGUUGUCGGAAGCUUCGGAUCCAAACGUUCUCUAAAAUCUCCUACGAAGAGUAAACUCACUGAUCUCUCUCCAUCUCCUCCACGUGCCUUCACGUAGCAUGUCCACGUGUAAGCGUACGCAAUGACAAAAGUAGACAAGUUCUUGACUCGUUCUUUAAGUCUCUCGAUGUUAUCCUUAGAGAGCACGAGCGUGGCCAAGACAACGUCAUCUCCAAGUUCUUUUGCGGGAAAUGGAAUCAAGCUUAAGACAACUUUGGUUUUAUCUUGUUUGAGAGAUCUCACCAUCUCUAUCAUCUUUUCAUCGAGUCCUGUGGGAUCUUUGAUCAACGACCUGUCAUAAGAUGGAACUAGACUCUCCGGGACGUUCUCAAGUUGUUGUUUGGUGAUAUGAGCCCAAGUUUUGAUGAACGUGCUUGACGUUUUCCCGUCUAAAACGGCGUGGUGUGCUGCAACGCCGAUGGAGAAACCUUGGUUCGGGAACAAUGUGAUUUGUAUGGAGAAGGCUGUGGCUGAGUCAUCCGUAACUGGUAACUUGGGAAGCAAGGCAUGUAACUCAGAGACAGGACGUUGUCCAAAGCCUGAAAGAUUUGAAAAGUCGGCUUCACUCUCGGCUAUAGUAACCAAAACAGCGUCGUUUGGACCGACCACGAUGCUUGGUUUGGGUUCGUUUAUGUUCCAUGUGAUGUGGCCAGUGAGAGGGACGUAGUUGCAAAGGACAAGGGAGAGAGAGAGCUUAAGCUUAGGGAGGAUAAUGGAGUUGAAAUGCUCACGAGUCGACUCUUUGAGUUUGUAGAAGAAGACACGUUUAACAGGUUGGAAUAGUAGCCAAGGUAGGUCAAAGAAAGUUAAAGGGAUUGAGAGGACAGAGUUUGAGUCAGCUGCUGGGGUGACUCGGACAGUCUCAGUGAUGUGUAGCGUCAUUGAGGAAGAAGGUAGAAUUGAUUUAGUAGUCUCAAAUGGGAAAACUAAAUAAUAUAUAGUAAAGAGUCACUGAAAUUUAAGAUAGAUCGCAAGAUUUUGAAAAGUAAAAGAAAAGGCGACAAGGCGAUAGCAAAGGCGACAAGGCGAUAAGGUGGUUUCAUUCUCGGCCCAGCUCCGGCGUCUCCAACGGCGCCGGCUCCUCCGCGAGUCGGAUUCCUGUUGCGCUUCCCUCCCCAUGGGGAAGCAAAAGCGACUUCGCAAAGAUCCUUCGGGGGGCUCCUCCUCCUCCAAAGGUGGCUCUUCCCCUGCUUCUUCCGCUUCCAUUUCUUCGGGCUCCGGCCUCCCAUCUUCCCCUUCGGUUCCUGUUACCACUCAAGAUAAAGGCGUCCUCGUAGCGGUCUCCACGACAAGCUCGGCCGUCUCUCCAUCUUCAGAUCCGCGAUCUGGUUCAGAUCUGGAAAAAUUAGGGCAUGUCGAAGGGAAGCAAGUGGCUGUUUCAGCCCCUGCGCCUUCUCCGGUGAUAUCUCCUCCAACGGAAGCGAUCCAGUCCCAGGACAAGGAACCUUCAUCAAUUUCUGCGCAAGCUGCUCCCGUCAAGGUCGAUGCGGCGAACCCAGAUUCCACAGACCAUUGCUCCUCUGCUGCGAUAGAGAGCUGGUGCGAUAUGUUCAAAGGAACUUCUAAGAGGCUUCAGAAGGCAGGGAAGGCAUUCACCCUCCCAUCUGGUGAAGCUUGUGUUAAGAUUCCCGACUCGCUAAUUGAAAAGCAUCAAAAGUCUUGGGAGUCAUUUAUACUUGGUCAAUUCUACUCGGAUCCUCCUGCUCAAGGAACUAUCCACACAAUUGUUAAUGGAAUUUGGAGUAAGCAGUUUAAAGACAUUUCGGUAUCGAGAAUGGAAGGAAACUCAUUUCUAUUUCGCAUACCUAAUGUGCAAACUCGCAAUCGGGUCCUGAAUCAACGUCUUUGGCAAAUUGAAGGCCAAACGAUGUUCGUUGCUAAUUGGGAACCUGGCCUUACUCCUUCAAAGCCGGAACUCUCCUCUGCACCCAUUUGGCUGGAACUUAGGAAGGUCCCUUUUCAGUUUUUUAAUGACGAUGGACUGCAGCGGAUUGCAAGUUUGGUUGGUCAUCCUCUGUAUCUUCACCCGGAUACCAUGAAUAAGCGGAACCUCGAGGUAGCAAAAGUCUUUACUAUUAUCGACCCUCGAAAGCCGCUACCUGAAGCUGUCAAUGCGCAAUUUAGUUCGGGAUUGAUCGCUAGAGUGGAGGUGUCUAGUCCCUGGAUGCCCCCAAUUUGUUCUCACUGCAAAGAAGUGGGGCAUAGCCUGCGAAGAUGUCAUUCAGCCCCAAUCAUGUGUAAACCUUGUAACUCGGCCUCUCACUCUCCAGAUGACUGCCCUCGCUCCAAAGCCAAAUCUCUUCCUCCUCCCUCUAAGCCUAUUCCGGAUAAGGUGAAAGCUCGGAGACGAAGAUCAAAAACUCCUAAACCGGUCCCUAAAGAAGGCGAAUGGGUGGUUGUUGGCAGUAGGGCCAAGGCCUUAUCCCUCGAUCCAGCCAAGUCUUCACAGGCAGUAGCCAAUUCUAGUAAAGGGCGGGAGGUUGCUUCUUCUUCCAAUCUCCCGGAUGGGUCGAAGCCCCCCGAUAAAGGCAAGGCUACUCAAGUGGUCCACGAUAAAUCUUCUUCUUCAGACUUGGAUUCAGAUUCUUCUGAUGUCCCAUCUGAACAUACUGAAGAUGAGGAUACUGAUCUAGAAGACGAGUUGAGGUUCACAAAGGUGUUGUCGCAGCGGCAACAGCGGAGUGCGAGGGGCAAUGGCCCCAAAAACCUAUAAUUUUUAUGGAUAGUGACACUUUUUGUUGGAAUCUCCGCGGUUUGAAUUCUGCUUCUCAUCGUCGCGGUUUUAAAAAAUGGUAUAGUAACCAUCGAUCACUUUUUGGUAGUCUCGUGGAGACUCAUGUUAAGAAGCCUAAGCAGCAUAAGUUCCUUAACUCGAUGCUGCCAGGUUGGUCUUUUGAUAAUAAUUAUGAGUUUUCUGAUCUCGGAAAGAUAUGGGUUUUAUGGCAUCCGAGUAUUCAUGUUGUGAUUGUUUCCAAAUCUCUGCAAAUGAUCUGUUGUGAAGUCAAGUUUCCAGACUGUGCUGAACCUGUUUUCAUUUCCUCUAUCUAUGCUGCUAAUGAUGAAGCUUCUCGCCUGGAAUUAUGGAGAGAGUUGAUUGAUCUCUCUUCUAAUGGUAUUCUUCAGGACAAAGCUUGGCUGGUGUUAGGUGAUUUUAACCAAACUCUUCAUCCUUCAGAACACUCCUCCCCUGCCAAUCUUAAUGUGGACAGCCCUACUAGAGUUUUCAGAGAAACUCUUCUCCAAGCUGGGCUAGUCGACCUCAACUUUAGAGGUAACACGUUUACAUGGUGGAAUAAAAGGAAAAGUGCCCCUAUUGCAAAAAAGCUUGACCGCAUUCUUGUGAAUGACAAGUGGAUCUCUCUCUUCCCCUCUUCUUUGGGUCUGUUUGGUGACCCGGAUUUCUCUGAUCAUGCCUGCUGUGAAGUCUCCUUCCAUACGGCUAAGCCGAGGUGUAGGAAACCUUUCAGGUUCUACAAUUUUCUGUUGAAGAAUCCUGAGUUUGUUCUUUUAAUUGGGUACCAUUGGUAUUCCCUGAAUCUUACAGGCUCUGCAAUGUAUCGUGUCUCUAAGAAGCUCAAAGCGUUGAAGCAAAUUAUAAGGGAUUUCAGUAAGCUUAAUUAUUCAGACAUUGAGAAGAGAACUGCUGAGGCUCAUGUUAGGUUGACAGAAGCUCAAAAUCAAUUGCUCCAUUAUCCUAGUGUGUCUAAUGCUGAGGUGGAGUUUGAGAUGCAGCGUAAAUGGUACAUUUUGUCCACUGCUGAGGAGAGUUUCCUUUUCCAAAGAUCGAGGGUAACUUGGAUAAGAGAAGGGGACAUGAAUUCUGCUUAUUUUCACAAAAUGGCCAAUUCCAGACAGGCAAUUAACCAUAUACACUUUUUGUAUGAUGCUGAAGGAAAUCGCAUUGACUCUCAGAUGGGAAUCCAGAGUCAUUGUGUUGAUUACUUUCAGACCUCUCUAGGUGGAGAACAAGUGCCUUCCCAGUUUGUUCAAGAAGAUGUUUCUCACAUCCUUAAGUUUAAAUGUUCUGAGAUUCAACAAACAGAGCUUGACUCUUUGUUUACUAGGGAAGAUAUCCGUCAAGCUUUCUUCUCCCUUCCCAAAAACAAGGCUAGUGGCCCUGAUGGCUUCACUCCCGAGUUCUUCUGUACAACCUGGUCCAUUGUUGGGACAGAAAUUACUGAUGAUGUGUUGGAAUUCUUUAGUUCGGGGAAGAUUCUCAAGCAAUGGAACGCUACUAACUUGGUCCUCAUUCCCAAGAUCCCUAAUGCUUCUCGGAUCUCGGAUUUCAGGCCCAUUUCUUGCCUUAAUACGGUUUAUAAAGUGAUUUCUAAACUUUUGGCAGGGCGUCUUAAAGCUUUCCUUCCCUCAGCGAUUAACCAUUGCCAAUCUGCCUUUAUGCCAGGCCGAUUGUUAUUGGAAAACGUCUUACUGGCAACUGAGAUAGUCCAGGGCUAUAACAGAAAGGAUGCUCAACCGAGUGCAAUGCUUAAGGUGGAUUUGAGGAAAGCAUUUGAUUCGGUAAGGUGGGAAUUUGUUAUUUCUUGCCUUAGAGCCAUCAAUUUUCCGGAAAAAUUCAUAGGGUGGAUCCAUGAGUGUAUUUCCACUGCAAGCUUUUCGGUCAUUGUGAAUGGGCAAACUACUGGGUAUUUUAAGAGUACAAAAGGGCUUCGUCAAGGUGAUUCUAUGUCCCCCUAUCUUUUUGUCCUAACUAUGGAGGUGUUUUCUGGAUUGCUUCAAUCUCGGUAUGAAUCGGGUUACAUCUCCUAUCACCCAAGAACAUCUGAGCUCCAAAUUUCCCACUUGAUGUUUGCUGAUGAUGUUAUGAUCUUCUUUGAUGGGAUGAGCUCUUCUCUCCACGGUAUUUAUGAAACGCUUGAGGACUUCGCAGGGUGGUCGGGACUUUACAUGAACAGGGAUAAAACUCAGCUGUACCAUGCGGGUUUGAGCCAACCUGAAUCCUUAGCCCUUUCUAGCUAUGGAUUCACUGUUGGGUCGCUCCCAAUCCGUUAUCUGGGACUCCCCUUAAUGAGUAGAAGGCUUAAGGUGUCAGAGUAUGCUCCUCUCAUUGAGAAGAUCUCUAGUCGCUUCAACUCUUGGGCGGUUAAGUCUCUCUCUUUUGCCGGCAGGACUCAACUUAUUGCAUCCGUUAUCUCUGGAAUGGUUAAUUUUUGGAUAUCUGCUUUCAUUCUUCCGCUGAGUUGUAUUAGAAAAAUUGAAUCCCUUUGCUCAAGAUUUCUUUGGGCGGGGACAAUCGACGGGAAAGGGUUAGUAAAGGUCUCCUGGGCUCAAGUUUGUUUGCCUAAAGAGGAGGGAGGAUUGGGGUUAAGAAGAUUUGCAAGCUGGAACAGAACUCUAUGUCUCAAACUUGUUUGGCUCCUUUUUUCAACUAGUGGGUCUCUUUGGGUUGCUUGGCAUAAGCUCCACAAUUGGAACCAUCAAACUUCUUUUUGGAACCAAGUGGAGAAGCAGGGAGAUUCCUGGAACUGGAGAUCUAUUCUCCGCCUAAGAGAUUUGGCUGAGGGCUUUAUCAAAUGUGUAGUUGGUAAUGGAAGAAGAGCAAGCUUCUGGUUUGAUAAUUGGACUCCUUUUGGUCCUCUCAUCAAGUAUCUUGGUAUUGAAGGGCCAAGAAGUCUCCGAGUCCAUCUUAACGCCUCGGUUUCUUCUGCUUGUGAUCAAGCUGGUUGGCUUCUUCCUGAGCCGCGUUCCGAAGAAGCACUGACCCUUAUGGUCUUUCUUACCACUUUAAAUCUACCGAGUGCUUCCCAUGUUAAUGAUCACUACGAAUGGGAGGUAGAUAAGAAGACUUCCACAUCAUUCUCUGCAGCUAAGACUUGGUCUGUGCUAAGGCCGAGGGCCUCCCAAGUUGACUGGUUCAACUCUAUUUGGUUUAAAGGUGCUAUCCCCAGGAAUGCUUUCAAUAUGUGGAUAGCUAAUUUGGACAGGUUACCGACUAAAGCAAGACUCACUAGCUGGGGUAUGAACAUUGUUUCUUCCUGUGAUUUUUGUUCUUCUGACCUGGAAACUAGAGACCAUCUCAUGUUAUUCUGCGACUUUGCGCGGUUUAUUUGGCACUCGGUUAGCCUCAGGCUUGAUCUUCCUCGAUUGUCUUUCUCCUCUUGGAGGGAAUUAAUCGUCUGGACUAAGGAAAAGAAUUCCAGAUCCCCCUCAACUCUCCGCAAGCUGGUGGCUCAAUCGGUAACCAAUGCCAUAUGGAAACAGAGAAACAACUUGCUGCAUAAUCAAGUUGCUAUCCUCCCUUCGGUCAUCUUCAAGGGUAUCGACCGAGAGGUGAGGAAUUCAAUCACAGCUCGUAGACUCAGGAAACGCUUCAAACGUCUAAUGAGCCUUUGGUUGUAAUGAUCGGUUAAUUAGCUGUAUAAGCUUUAUUGUUACCUUGUUUUAUUCUUUUUGCCAAGGAAACAAUGUAAUGGUUGUAAAACCAAACUUUCAUUUUUAAUGAUAUUUGCAGUUUAGCAAAAAAUAUAGUAAAGAGUCGAGCAUUUUAAUAAUCUCUACUUUACGACCUAAUCAUUAUAUUUCCUAGGCCCUAAUAACAACUAAAGGAGAUGAGUGAAUAAACAAAGUGCCACAGGCCAAGAUUAACGUGUAUCAGAUGAGGUUUUGUCUUUUUUCUAACCACUUCAAAUGAGUUUUGAUUUUUGGUCAGAUUUGUUCACUAAAUUACUUAUUUCAGUUAUAAAGUGUAUUAAUUUUUGUUGUCCAAAUAAAAUAUUAUAAUAUUUUCAGAUGCUUCCCUCUAAAUUUGGAGGUUAGUGUAAGAUUUAAACUCACAGCUAAGUCGAAAUGAAAAUUUUAAAGAGAUGUUUGUAUGGUAAAGAGAACGUAUUUUUUAUUGAUCAAGAACAAUUUGAAGGUUACAAGAUAGGGUUUUAGUUUAUAAACUUAAGAGCAUGUACAAUAAUGAUAUUUGGGCUGUCUUAAGGUGGAUCUUAAAAAGUAAAAAGUUUGAAUUAAUUGAUUUUGAGAUCCAACUUUAGAUAUUUGUCUAAUGUGCCUUAUUUAAGAAAUCAAAUUAAUUUUUUUAGAUACCCAUUCAAAGUAUUACCAUUGAACAUGCUCUUAGAGCUAGAGUUCUUGAGUGCGUAAAAAAAGGGUCAUUUACUUAGCGGCCGAGCUUUGCUUUUAUAUAUAUAUAUUUCCGAAACCAGAUGAAUAUCAUUAAACUAUAUUAUUCUCAAAGAAAAAUAUAUUUUUUUCUUGAUAUUUUCCAUAUUCUUAUAUAUUAUGCAUAAUCCUUCAAAGAUUGUUUGGAUCUAAGUCGACAUUGCCUCGACGAGGGCCGAGUUGAUCGGGCGUAUUACAAGAAGUUAGACUUUUUGUUGGGUCUGGUCAGUAAAUUCAAAAUGGCUAUUCUUGGUUAGAAUUUGAUUAACCUAGCUAGUGGAACUCAACCACUCUUUAAGGAUUAGUCCCCCAAUGUUCAGCGAAGGGAGGAGAGAUAAAAGAGUUUCUUCAAAUUUGGAAUCAAGUUAGUAUCCAGUUAUAUCCAAACUAAUCUAUAUUAACAUUUUUGAGUACUAUUUGGGGUUAUAACAUUUUAUUUUGUAAUAAUUGCCUAAUUAAACCCUUGCCAUUUGAAUAAAUAACAAAAAAAAUUAUGGUAAAUUAUGUAAUUAAUUCAUAAUAAAAUUGCAAAACUAGAAAUCAAUAUUUAUUACAUUUAACAAAAUUUCUUUAAAUCUCUCCCUAAUAAAUUAAAUAUUUCUCCAAUAUCUUUAUAUGAUCCUAUUUGUUUUAAAAUUUAUAUUAUUACUUAAAACAUAUGCAUGAUAAAAAUAUAAUUUGUUUUUGCAUAUGUUACAAUUUGAAUUUUUGAAAAGGGACGUAUAUAACUCAAACAAUAAACAAAAUGUAUGUUCUAAAGUAUUAUUGAUAAUUGUGUAGCACGGGUCAUGUGAUAAGCGGGUUAUAAUUUACAUAAUUAUUAUUAUAUAUAUUUUUACGGAUUGUCUAGUAUAGUAAAACUCAAAAAUAUUUUAAUCUGAAAUUAGACUAUUUAAACAAAAGAUGUUAUGCCAACAUUAUUUUACUAUUUUGGAUAUUAGACUUAUUUAGUUAAGUUGAUCAAAUUAUCAUUAUAUAAAAAACAAGUUGUCAUGCAAUAUUACACGGGUUAAAUCAUAAAAUUAACAAUCAAAAUAGAGAAGAAAUUUUUUUUCUCCAGCAUGUAGUACAAUCUUAUAUACUAAACAAAAUUGAUAAAAAAUGUCAUUCUAAAAUAUCGUCUCGCGGUGUAACGCAGGUUAAAAUCUAAUAUAUUCUUAUUUAGACUUUUAUAAUUUGAAAAGCCCUUAAACUAGCUUCAGCGAUAAAAUCCUUGAAAGUUUCUAUAAAAAUAAGAAAGAAAUAUUAUUUUAAUUUCUUCAAUUUUAUUAGUUUGGAAUCUAGUUAAGUUUGUACUAGGUUCGGACCAGCAUGUAGGUGCAGGAUUAAUUUCAAAAAACUAAAUUUGUUAUCAAGUUUGUAAUAUAUUACACAUGUGUGGGGUCAUGAUUGUAGACAUACUAUUUAGGAAUUUUAUUAACAUUCAUAACCCAAAGUUGUAUUAGUUUAGUAUUUUUGUUUUUUUAUUCGACUUAAAUAAAAAGAAUUAUCGGAUUUUGUUUUUGCGAUUAGUAAAGAAAACUACAUAUAAAAUAGUAAGAAAAUGUGGUUGAUCUAUUUCGGGACAAACAUUCAUCAUGUUCUGUCGCAUAUAUGUUAUGUUUUCCAUCUCAUAACCGUGGUUUUAGUAAUAACUUACUCGUUUUUGUCAGGUUGCAUGGAAAGUCUUUUCGAAGUGCGUUUCCCGUUUCCAAAACGUUUUGGAAACAGAAACUCUUGGAAACUCGGAAACUAUAACGGAAACAUGGUUCCUAAUUUUUUUUUAUUUAGAAACACGAUAGAAACUCAUGUUUCCAUUUUGCAAACCCGACGAAAUAUUACAGUUUUAGUUAGAAACUCAAUAAACAAAUAUUUUGAUUUAUGAUAUAUAAAAUGAUUACUUUUAUACCUUUAAAACCUGAUUAAUUUUAUCAAAUACACAUAUACACAAUAAUAUAUGAUAUAUAAAUAUCUGAAUUUAUGGAUUUCACUGUUUUAAUAUUUAACUUUUAGUUAAACUAUUUAGUAUAUAUAUUUUAGAUUAACGUGUUAGUUUAAAUAUUUUGUCUUAAUAUUAUUUGGAGGGUUGAUGUUAAUAUUAUAUAUAUAUAUAUACAUAUUAAUAGCGUUUCCAAAUCUUAAUUUCAUAAAAAUAUUUUUCUCGUUUCUGAAACGUUUCGUUUCAGCGUAUCCGUUUAUGUUUCCAUGCGACACAUAUAUUUUAGUACAACAUAUAGAGAAAUAGGUAAAAGAAUUAGACCCCACGUGCGGGUGGGGUUUAAUUGGUAGGUAUAUUUAUUUGUUGUAGCAUUUAUAAGAUAUGAAUUAAUUAUUUUUUUUUAUCAAAUUUGUGAAUGUUUGAUAUCUGAAACUUGAAACUGAAUUUAACCAUCCAAAUUUUAUGACCUCAUCUCGUAAGUAGUAAGCUUUAUUUUUCAUCCUGUAUUUUAUGAAAAAAUUGUUUAUAUAAUGUUUUGUUAUCCAAAGUAUACAUUGUCUUCUUGUACCCGUUAUUUCAUGUUUGACUAUUUGAAAUAAAUAGUAAAGUGAAAAUUAAAUUUAACAAUUUAAAUUACAUGUCCCCGUAUCGUACUCGUAGUUAUAUAUUUGAAAGUUGAAAGUGAAUUUUAUCGUGCCUCAUAAUCUUUAUUUGAAAGAUGAUAAGAGAAUCAUUAUGCCAAAUCUUUCAAAAUUUCAAAAUAUUUAUAUUAGUAAUUUGGAAAUAUUGUAUAAAUAUUAAUGAUCUUAUAACUAAAAAAGAAAAAAUAUGUACCUAAGAUAUACUUUAUUGGUUGAUAAAAAAAGAAAAAAGUUAUACUUUAUUUUUAGUGAAUUAGCUAAGAUAAAAAAUAGACAUCUUUGGUCAUUAUGACUCGAAGAUUUAGAUUAGUACACUUGGAUUUGGAAAGGCAAAGGCAAGUAGUUCUGUGUUCUGUUCGAACAAUAACAUUUCCUCUUCAGCUAGUGUCACCCAUGCUUCGACUCCUUGUCCGUCCUUAGAGUCGACCAACACGGUCACAUUGUCUAGGAUGGGAGAAACAUUACCAGUGACCCAAACAGGAGAUCCCCAACCAAAGCAAGCCUUAUAAAGAGGAACCUGUGUGUGUGUGUGUCAUAAACCUCGUAGCUGAACUUAGUUUCCGCCAUUGCCCCAAGCAAUUUCAAACCUAUAGUCAUUGAUGCUGAGCCUUCCUCAUAUUGAACCAAAUGGGAUACCUCCUCGGAUCUUUUUUUUAGUUCCUUGACAAUUUGUACAGUCUCCAAGUUGUCUUUUCCAUUCAAGGUUAGGGUGGAGAACAAGGGGUUACCUAUUAGGUUUUCCGACAAAACAGCGGGUAUCUUGGGACGCAAGUUAUUCGCUUGGUACAGAGCUUUCUCACGGGUUGUGUCUGUUGAUGAAGCCACAACACAUUUCCAUAUAAGUGAAGUCAAACUCUGAACCCGAGUGGGUCGAGGGACAGCGUCACUAGCGACUUUGUUCCUUAGCUCUUCGAUCUUAGAUGCUACGAACACAAAUCUCUUUGUGAUACUUGUUCUCUUACCUAGUUGAUCCUCCCCUGGAACUUGAAUGGCCCCGGACGCUGGUGGGUAAAUCUUUGUGGAACCAAACUCAGGACUGACCACCGUGUCGCCGUCUCCUCGAGCUGUAGCAGCCCAAGCUUGGAUAAAGUUUGAGAUAGAGACUGCAUCGCCGAGCUUAUGACUCAUGCAGAUUCCGAUGGCCAUGCCACCACACUUGAAUUAGGUUGCUUGCAUAAGAAGCAAUGGCCAUGUAGGAAUGGGCUCUGCAGCGUCAAAAGGAAGCAGCUGUUGGAGAGAUUUGGUGUCUGGGGAUCUCAAGAAGUCAGAGAGAAGGCAGUCAUCGACGCUUGAGUCCACAAAGACAGCUCCUUUAUCGGUACUGUCGAUGGUGACUCCAUUGACUCUUCCAGCGAAAGGGUGGAACUUUGUUAAGGUCUCGGACAGGGAAGUUUUGAGAGUUUGGGAAGUUUGUUCUUGAGAGAUCAAAUCAUCUUUAGUGUAGAAAAGAAAUGCAACGGCGUAGACCUGAGGGAUUAGUUGAUCCAUAAUAGAGAGUUGAAGAGUUGGGAGAUCAUUGGAAGAUGGCUUUGAUGGCUUAAUGAUCUCUUUACCAAUGGUUUGAACCUUCACUGUCUCCAUGGAUUGAUAUAUUUCUUUCCCUUUCUUUUCUUUUGUUUGGGUUGUCUACUCUUUUGAGGAGGAAGUGGUUCUUCUAUAGAACAUAUUUGUUCAGUUUUCUAAAGUUUCCAGAGGGAGGUACAAAUUAUUAUUAUUCUUUUUUUUUUUUCAAUAUUUGGCCACAACUGGCCGGCCCAUUAGCCUAAUCCCUACAAAUAUGUCUAUUUUUUUAUCUUAUCGACAUGUUCUCCGUAUGAUGUGACUUUUCUUUCUAAGCCCGAUUGCGUGGUCAUGUUCUCCUCUCAUAUUGCCUUCAACUGAAAGAUCUACAUGUCUAACACAUGUAUAGAUAUUUUACGUAUAUAAACUAUCGUUUCAAUGUAUUUAUAUAUAUUUUUAUAGAUUUUUAAUUAUCAAAUUAAUGAUUUGAAAACUAGUUUUAACUUUUGUUUUUAAUUAUAUAUACUUUUAAAUAGAUACUAAUCGGAUAUCCAAAAAAUUGUUCGAACAGUCGGAUAUUUAAUCACUUAAUAAGAAAAUACAAAUUAUAAAACUAUUUAUUCAGACGAAACUAAAAAAAUUAAAAUUAUUACUAAAAUUCAGCUUAUUCGCUCGAUAAUUAAUAUGCACCACCUAAUUUAGCUAGAAGCAAUAUUGUGAACAAUGUUACUGAAGUACACACCCCACAUCGGUAGUUGAAAAAUUUACUCAUUAUCAAUUAGUUUUGAGUUAGAAACCCAAAAUAAACCUAAAUUUAUCGUGAUAUUAAAGCCACCCAUUUGUUAGGUCAUCCGGUAAAUGUUGUUGUUAGUAAAGUAUACAAUAUCAUAGUAGAAUUUAUCAAAUAAAUAUAUCCGAAUUUAUUAAAGACGUAACCAAAACUUCAGUAUGUGGAUGCAAGAUUUGCGUUUUGAGUUAAAAAGGAUACGUUAAUAAAGUGCUGAAUUUUAAUAACAUGGGAAUCAGAAAGCUAGAUCAAAUUAAAUAAACCGCAAAUGAAACAAGUGUGUGUAUAUUUUAUUUAUGAAUUUGUAUGAAUACUGCAAUUAAAGAUGAUCAAUUUGAAUAUUAACGUCAACAAUAGUAUAAUAUUAAUCGUAUAAUCAUCGUAUAAUAAUUACACUACUACAAAGUCUUGGAGAUUAUCAAAUACUUCAAUUAUUGAUGCCUAUUGCCUAUAAUGGCUGCCAUGUGACGAAACAUGUAUUAUUAUUUGAUAACGAUGCAACAUCAACUAACUAAGCAGUCAUUGAUGUGUUGUUUUUUGUUUUGUUUCCUUUUUCACUAAAGAAUUGUGAAGAUAUAAUAAAUGUCACUUUUAUAUACUACAAAAUAUUAGAGUAUUUUUAUGACUAGCACAUUAUCACUUUUUAGUUUAUUCUAUAAUUUCUUUUUUUUUUUUGUAAUUUUUAGUGAAUAUUAAAAAUGGUAUGUUACGUAGACUGUAAUGAAAUUUUUUUUUUUAAGUGUUUAAAUGAUUUAUUAAAUAAAGUAAUUGAGCAGGCUACAUUAAAGAUCUUUAUAACAAUACUAGAUAAAGCCCGCGUAAAAAUACGGGUUAAAAUUUAUGUUUUCACGUAUGAACUAAAACUAUUGCAUGUGUUAAAAUUUGGAAAAUCAUAACACUUACAAAAAAAUUUAAUCAAUACUAAUUAAAUAUUAUAUAUCUAAUAUAUAUUAAGGUCCGUCUAAUGUUACUUAUUUUUAAAAUAAAGUUAAAUUAAAAUUUUAUAAAAAAAUAUGUUAUAUCCAAAGUAGUAAAAAAAAAAAAAGCUAAUUUUUUAAGUUAGUAAAUUUUUAAGUUACUUCGAAGUUCGAACUCUGUCUUGUUUAUGAUACUUUUCCUUAGAUUCUUUCGAUCUUCAAUAGAUACUCCGUGGUAUUGCACUUUGCAGUGCUCACUCAUAGAGCUAAUGGAAUGCUUCACCGAUAUAUUAGAAAAUAAAAAAGUAUCAUGUUUAAUUCAAGUGUUCACGUUUAUUUAGUUUUAAACAAAUCUUGAUAAUAGUUGGAUAGAAGUUUUUUUUAUACUUUUAAUUCUUUUUUGGAUAGACAAGAUCCGAUCUAGAGCUAAUCCCUACUACGUGGGGUAACGUGACUUAGUGCAGUCGAACUCUAAUAGAGAAGAUGGAACCAAAUGAACUUAACCACUUUACUAAAGACACAUCCCUUAUUUGGAUAGAGACUGAGUAUAACUCAAUGUGAAUAUGAAAGUUACAGUAUCAUGAGUCAUUAUAAAGAUAUGUCAAUUUAGAUAGCCUUAUAUAAGGUUUCCAAAUCACUUGAUGGGAGAGAUGUUCAUGUGCAUGCCACUAGGGAAAGAAACUAGUGGUGUACGAGUAGCCUCGUCGUCUUGUGCCAUUGAGAAAUCGUAGUUGGUAACAAGAUGGUGAAGAAAAAGUGCAAUCUGAAGCCUUGCAAAUUCUGCACCAGGACACAGUCUCAUCCCACCUCCAAAUACCAUGAAUGACUUAGAAAAAUUAACCAGAUUUUGUCCCUGUUUUCACAUUUUUCAUCAAAAAUUUUACAUUCUUUAGAUGAUAACUUUUUAUUACAUAUAGAAAUUUCUGUAAAAAUAGACAAGAAUCAGUAUAUACCUCCCAUCUCCAAGGAUUAAACUCGAAAGGGUUCUCAUAUACCGCAGGAUCAUAAUGCCUUAGUGAAGUUGCAACAAACACCAUCCAACCCUUUGGAAUCGUAUAUCCUGUUACCAGUUUUCGCACCGUAAAACGUUUAAUUUAGUAAAUAUUUUGAAAAUAUGUUGAAUAAGUAGCCGAAUCGAAUUUUAAAAAUAAUACUUACCUUUAAUUUCAACAUCUAUCAAAGUCUUUCUAAACAUUACAGGAGCCAGAUUUACCAAUCUAAGAGCCUCAUUAAUCACCUGCAUUGCAAUAUAUAUAUAUAUAUUCUUAGUUUCAAAUAUUUAUCAUUUAUAUUAUAAUUGAAAUUACUAAUGGAUAUCUAAAAUUUACCAUGCUGGUGAAAGUCAUGUUGUUUUUGUACUCUUCCCAAGUCACUCCAGAGUUCUUAUCAACUCUGUUUUGAAGGAUAGCAUCAUGUUCUCUCUGCCAUAUUAUAAGCAUAUAAUUAAUGUCAAAUCUAUGCUUCUUUAAUUUGUCUUCCUUUAACAAGUGAAAAUAUUGUUAGCUAUGAAAAAUUAUUACCUUUAACUCUAAGAAAACUUUAGGAUUAUUUUUAAUGUACUUUACUGCCAUGGACAUGACCACAGAAGUUGUAUCUUUAGCCGCGAUCGGAAUAGCAUAGGUUUGGAAGAUAACAUAUUUGUCAUCUAAAACGACAUCUUCCAUUAUUGUGUUGAGGAUGUCAUCAUGCUUCUCUCCCGAUUCUUUCCUUGAUUCGAGAGCUUUAGUUAUCAUCUUCAUUGCGCCUCUGCUUGCCUAGAUGAAGUUGAUAGAGACAAUUUUUAGACAUAUAGUGUAAAAAUGUUAAUCUUUUUCACUAGACUGGAAUACAGUUGUUAGACUUCAUAUUUUCUAAACAUGAUAUAAUUAUUUUUAUUUUUAUAACAUAAAACUGUAUAAUCUAUAUAUUCAAAGCUAAUAAUAUUUUUCUUUCAAUAAAAUUUGACAUAUAUCGUGAUCACGUUAGUUAGUAACUUUUGAAACCGAGCUUUAUAUAAAAACCAAAGAAAUUUUACUUACCAUCAAGGAUCUGUACAACGAUUUCCAGGAAGAAAGACUAAAGAAGGACUUAUACCAAUCAAGAUUGAAGGCCAUGAAGAUGUUUAAAAGAUUCUCUGCAGCCUCUGCUGUGAGGUCACUUAUCAACUUGGGAAUCAAGUGCCUUAUUAUCAACUACAAAUGAAGCAACAAAAGUAUUGUUAAAUCUUUUUAAUUUCACCAAUACCAAAAAUAAACAAAGAACUAUGUACAUACGGUUCCAGCUGCCUCCUUAACAUCGAAGCUCCCCGAGCUAGCCUUUGAUUUAAGACCCUCAUAGGUUCCUCGGUCCAUGUUUCCUAACAACUUCUUCUUCAAACCAUCAGGGCCAAAAAAGUUGAGAGUGAUUUGUUUGAAAUGCUUGUGUGUCUUCCCAUGAUUGACUAUCGCGUCAUCUCUUUGUAAGACUUUGGUAAACGCACCGGGAAGGCUAAACACGAAAGCCGUGUUCUCUUGGCGAAAAACCUCGACCAUUACAUCAGGGUCUGUCACUACCACGGUGUUGGAUCCAAAAACGUUGGUCCGAAAUAUUGGCCCGUACCUAAAACGUUCUCAAGAUUACAAACAUAUAGGAUAAAAAGUAUUAGGUUUCGGUACAAAACCUUUUAGUUAUUCUAAGAAAAAACACACUUAAGGUUUUAAUAUCUUACUUGGACAUCCUCUUGAGGAUAAAGGGCGAGGUCUCGUUGAAUCCAUAAGAUUUAAAGAAGUCGAGUGUCUCUCCGAUGAUCGGAAAACCCAUUGUUCCCGGAGGUAACUUGCCAUUGCACUUGGGGUUUGACCAUCGGUACAACCAUUUACUGAUCAGUACAACAACUAAAGCUGUAACACAUAUUGAAACGUUCCAAAUCAUGUCCAUUUUAGUGUGCCUUUUUAAGGUAUGAAAAGAGGUAUUUUGUUCGGAUCUUUUGCGGCUCUUAUAUAGAAAAGAAGAAAAUAAGUGCAACAGUUUUUUUUUUAUUAUUAUGUCUUUAUCAUAUGAUUUUUCAACGUUAAUGUUCAGCAGGAAACCUUGUUUUUUUUGGAGUUUUUAUAUGUUUUAUGGUCAACGAUAACGUUCCAUUGGCUUAUUAAAUUAUUAGAUGAUGUUUGGCGUUUAUAAACAUAAAAUGAAUUUUCUAUUAUAAAAACAAAGUUUGAAUCGUGGUUAUAUGGAAUUUAAAAGAAUAUAAAGUUUAUUGACUAUUACGAUAGAGUUUUUUUUUUUUUUUUGUAAACCUUACGAUAGAGUUUUAAAAACAAUUAAUUAUAGGAAACAGUCAUAUGUUAUAUACUCUUAUAACAAGGAGAUAUUUAUGGGUCGGUGAGCGGUAUAUAUAGUACUUCCUCCGUUUUCGAAUAUAUCUAUUGCAGAACAAAGGAAAUAUAUUACUCGUUCCAUUUCAUUUUAAAUGAUAUUUAAGAUUAUUACAUUAAAAUUGAAAAAUCAUAUAAUAUUGAUUUUUUCAUUAAAAUAAAACUAAAUAAUAUGGAUUCAACCAAUAGAAAAAUAUAAUAUAUAAUAUGAUUUGUCAAAAAUUAUUAAAUAUAUUUAAUUUUAUAUAAAAAAUUGUUUUCAAUUUUUUAGGGCUAAAUACUAAUUAAAACGAAUCAGAGGAAAUAUAACUUAAGUGAUAUUAAAGGUUUCCGAAGUCCAAAAACUAAUAUUGAGGUCGAAAGAAAUCAUAUUAUUUAUUCGAAUUUCAUAGCCAAUGCUAUUCAAACCCAAAUAGCGGAAAAUUCUCGUACUUAUUUUUUCAGCUCUUGGACCAAUUUACUAGUUUUUGUUACUUAGACUUUAGAUCAAUUAUUUAUUCAACGAAUUUUAUGAUUUAAUCCACUUACCAUGUUUGUGAUCAGUUCAUGGUUGUUGGUUAUAAAGCCAUGGACAUGCCUAAUCCAUCCAUGAAUCCAAAAAAAUAUCCUUGCCACAUUGUAUUACUUGUUAGUUUGCCUUCAAUCCAAUCCGUUGGUGUGGCCAUUGGUUUGCUUGCAGAUACAACAAGGAUUACUUCGUAAAUCUUCACGUUCGUCCAUCGGUAUAAUCAAUUUUUUGCACCAUUUUCAAGGGUUGCGUAUAUCAUACAUAGUGUUAUACAAUCUUUCAUCUCCAUGCUCAAGUAGUGUUAGCUGAUUAGUAGGCUUAUCAAUACUCAAUUAGUUCACUGAGCUUGGUCCACUUCUAGGCCUUGACGAAGCCAUCUUCAACCUCUCUGUGAUUAAGAGAUUUUAAAAUACCUAUCGUAAAGUUGAUUUAUGAUUCAUAGAGUGAUUAUUUUUCGGAAACAAAAACUCUUGAAAAUUCGGAAACUACACUAAACUCUUGAAAUUUGGAAACUACACUGACAAUUUCUAUUUUUUUCGGUUUAGAAAAAAGACAGAAAGUCACGUUUCCAUUUUAAAAACUCGACCAAAUAUUACAUUUUUAAUUUAGAAACUACAUACACAAAUAUUUCGAUUUAUGAUACAUAAAGUGAUUACUUUUAUACCAUUAGAACCGAAUUAAAUUUAAUUGAAAUAUACAUAUACAAUAAUAUAUGAUAUACAAAUAUCUAAAUUUAUGGAUUUUCAAUGUUUUAAUAUUUAUCUAAAUUUAGUAUAUAUAUAUUAGAUUAUUGUGUUAUUUCAAAUAUUCUUUCCCUAAUAUGGUUUGGAUGUUUAAUAUUAAUAUCUAUAUUUCCAAAAUGUUUUCAUAUCUUAAUUUCAUAAAAUAGAAGUAGUUUCUCGUUUCUAUGUAACAUAGGCUAACAGAAAUAAAAGAUAAAUAGAAAGAUAAAAGAUUUCCUAUCAAUCUUUAACUUUUUUUUUAGAUAUAUAAACAAUGAUUACAUCAUCUUCAAUACAACUAAAUCGGUAAAAAAUCUACAUCACGUUUAUAUUAUUAUUUUAUAGUGUAGACGUUUUAUGUAAUUUGGGCAACAAUUCACCCACAUUUUUUUAUACUUUUCUUAGUUUUAUAAUAAGUAUUUUAUAUGGUACCGAGGAUAAUGCGUACAAAUUAAAUAUAGUUAAGUAAACACAUGAUUCGUGAGUUAUGAGGUCCUUUCAAAUGAUUUUUUUAAGUUACCAUGUACUUACGUAUUACCCAAAAUCGAGAUCUAUUCCCACUUUCCAAGUCGUUUACAAAUAUUAUAAUUGGGAUACUUAAAUAGUAUCAUAUUAUAUACCAGAAAAGUAUCAAUAUACUAACUCAGAGUAUCCAGAUUAAAAUUAAUCACCCUGGAUAAUUUAAGUGUUAUUCAUAAGGGAGAUUGAGAGUAAUACAUAUUAUGUACAUAUAUAACAAAUAUUGCUUUAAAUCACACGCAUAAAUUUUUUUUUUGGGUCAAAACAAAGUAGAUUAUCAUAAACUUACCUGAGUUUCUUACAAGGAACAGAGCAUCUUUUGCCAGAGUAUCAUCUCGGCGAUUCAGUUCUCUAGAAAUAAAAGUGAAAAAACAGGAGCUGAAAUUAGAAGAUAACUCAAGGAUAUCGUGGAGAAUCCCGUGGAGUUCCUUAGAAGGAAGCACCAAAUUAAGGGCUUUGACUAGUAUCAACGAGUCAGAAGCGAAGAGAACGUUGGAUAGACCCGAUUCAGUUGCAACUCGGACCGCAGUCAGAGUUGCCAGGGCUUCGGCCAUCAACGGGGAUCGGACAUGGCGGCAUGCCAUCGACCCGGUGGAGCAAGUUCUGUUUUGGCUAUCCGUGAAGAUCCACCCCAACCCGGCUUGCCCAGAAUCCAUCCAAGCAGCAUCCGUAUGAAUCGUAACAGUAUCGGGUGGUGGUUUGAUCCCACAGGGCUGGUUACGAGUUGGUGGGGCAGAGCCAUGUGUCAUACCUUGCGCCUCAUGCCAUUCUUUUGCUCCGAUAAUUGCUAGAGUCAGGGAAUCAUAGCCGGGAAUAGAUAUCUUCUUAAAAAUCAAUUGGUUUCUGGCCGACCAUAUCGCCCAAAGGAUCCACGGGGCCAGUGGUCCGGUUAUGCCUGAAGGGGGGAGGCAAUUUAGCUUAUUCAGAGCAGUGAUCGUUCGCCCAAUCGAAUUCACAAUAUUCAGGUUUAGACACACUGCAAGGGGGGCUCUUGCCCAAAUUCCUGCGGCGUAGGGGCACGAGAAGAAAAGAUGGGCUGUUGAUUCCGGAGCUCCAUAGUGGGGGCAGACUGCAGAGUCGACUAUUCGCCUUCUGAUGAGGUUCUCUCCCACCGGUAAGGAGUCAUGCGCCAUUUUCCAAAGAAGGUGCUUUGUUUUCUGGGAGGUUUUUGAUGGGCCUAUACGUGGUAGUCGGCCCGUUCGAGAAAGAAGGCCUAAUCCGCGAUACAUGGAUUAAGCGGUUAUGGAGCUUUGGUGUUUUAGUUUUCGGUUUUGGUUUUAUAAUUUCCUUUUGCUUUGAUAAUUCUUAGUUAAGUUAGGAUUGGUGUUAUCUUAAUCUCUCCUUAUCUCAUUAGAACUCAAUAGUUCUUUCUGUAGGAUGUUUUGAUAUAAAUAUAAGAAAAGCCAAAAAGAGGUAGUCAUAACUACCCAUUCAACAAAACUUGUGUAUUGUCUUCUUGCAACUCUGAUUGGGACUUUACCAAUUGGUAUCAGAGCAAUAUCUCGCUAUUGAUUCGGAUCACUUGUGGUGUCAAGAGCAAUCCAUCUACGUCGUGUGAUUCGGACCACAAGUUGUGGUAUCAAACAUGGCAACUACGAACAAAGAAAGGAUCGAGGAAUUGGAAUCUAAUGUGACAGAACUAAGAGAAGGACUCGCGAAGCUUAAUCACGACAUGUCAAGCAAGUUUCUGUCAUUAGAGGGAGCAAUGAAUCGUUUAACGGAAACAUUAACGACAUGACGUGACGGAGAUUCAAGUGCUGCUCGUUCUCACCAGAGAAGUGGCGGACAAGAUCAUCAGAUGCAGGCUCGUACGGAGGUGUCUAACGCGAUCGUACCAGCACGAACGGUGAAGCUGGAUUUUCCACGUUUCAGAGGUGGCGACCCGACGGCAUGGCUAAGCAAAGUCAAGCAGUACUUUGACUACAACAACACCCCGAUGGAUCAGAAGGUUCAAUUUGCAUCAUAUCACUUCGAGGAAGAAGCGAAUGAGUGGUGGCAGGCGACGUCAAAGACACUACAAGAGGAUGGGCUUCAGAUCACGUGGGCCGUGUUCGAAGAAGAGCUAUGGAUGCGUUUCGGCCCAACAGACGGGGAUGAUUUUGAUGAAGCAUUGUCAAAAAUACAGCAAACGGGGACUCUUCAAGAAUACCAGCGAGAGUUCGAGAGGCUGCAGAAUAAAGUGGAAGGCUGGACCCAAAAGGCUCUUAUCGGAACGUAUGUAGGAGGUCUUGAUCCUAUUAUUGCAGACAGCAUUCGUAUGUUUCGGCCAAAAACAUUAAAGGAGGUCUUAAACUUGGCAAGAAUGAAGGAUGAACAACUCCAACGCCAACGUCGGAAAUUCCGAUCACCAUCGCAACGUGCUCUGCCAACCAACGCUUUGAGUCGUCUGAACCCUUUAAAGGAACCAGAUCCGAUGCCUAAAGAAGGUUCUUCACGUACCCCACGCAAACUGAGCUGGGAGGAGCUUAAGAAGAAACGAAGUUUGGGAUUAUGCUUUAUUUGUGAUGAAAAGUAUAUUCCGGGACAUAAAUGUAGACAACCGCAGCUGUUCAUUAUGGAGGGUGAAGACGAGGACAGCGAAGAGAAGGCAAAUGACUCUCAGGAAGAAGAUGAGACUGUGGAAAUCUCGGCAUACGCACUUACGGGGUGGAAUGCACCACAAACUAUUCGUUUGCACACUACAAUUGGGAAGCACGAGUUGGCUGCUUUAGUUGACAGUGGCUCGACACAUAAUUUUGUGAGUGAAAAGACAGGCCGCGACUUGAAGUUAAUCUCCACACCAGUUAAGGCAUUCUCAGUUAAAGUAGCAGAUGGUAAACCCUUACGAUGCCUUGGUAAGUUCGAAGACGUGCUCAUCACGGUUGGAGGCGUUGAAUUUACUAUGACACUUUAUAUACUUCCCUUGAUUGGCCUCGACUUGGUUCUCGGUGUUCAGUGGCUUAGUGGCUUGGGACCAACUGUUCGUGAUUGGAAGGCUCAAACCAUGGAGUUUCGCUGGGCUAAUAAGGUUCACAAGCUACACGGCUUACAACCUCAACUACAGGAAGCACGGUUACAUGAAGUGGAAAAAGAGGCACGUAACGGACAAACUCUAUUUGCUAUUCAGGUGGACCAUAACGCAACAACGGCAUCGGUUAUACCCGACGAUUUAAAGGCCCUAGUCCGUGAAUAUGACGAAUUAUUCAAGCAGCCAACACAGCUUCCUCCACAUCGAACAAUUGAGCAUCGCAUAGCCUUAAAGGAAGGAACGGAUCCGGUUAAUGUGCGCCCAUAUCGAUAUGCACACUUCCAGAAAAAUGAAAUUGAAAGGCAGGUUAGUGAGAUGUUACAAACGGGUAUAAUCCAGCCUAGUUCAAGCCCUUUUUCGUCUCCAGUACUUCUAGUUAAGAAAAAGGACGGUACGUGGCGUUUUUGUACCGACUAUCGUGCAUUGAAUUCGGUGACGAUAAAGGACCGGUUCCCUAUACCAACGGUCGAUGACAUGUUGGAUGAACUCCAUGGGGCAGCAUUCUUUACAAAAUUAGACUUAACGGCUGGAUACCAUCAAGUUCGUAUGCAUACGGAUGAUGUUCCAAAGACGGCUUUUCGCACACACAACGGUCACUAUGAAUAUUUGGUAAUGCCGUUUGGCCUGUGCAAUGCACCAUCAACAUUCCAAGCUCUCAUGAAUGACAUUUUCCGGCCUAUAUUGCGAAAAUUUGUUUUAGUCUUCUUUGACGACAUUCUCGUAUAUAGCCCGACUUGGGACUCUCACAAGUCGCACGUGGAGCAGGUUUUUUCUAUUCUCCGACAACAAAAACUGGCGGUCAAGCUUAAAAAAUGUGAGUUUGGGCAACGUGAGUUGGAGUACCUAGGCCAUAUAAUCUCGGAUGCUGGAGUCAAAGUGGAUAAAUCGAAGAUACAAGCAAUGUUAGAUUGGCCUACACCAACGACGAUUACGGAGUUACGUGGAUUUUUGGGCUUAACCGGUUAUUAUCGAAAGUUUGUACAAGACUACGGAAUCAUAGCCCGACCUUUGACCAACCUCUUGCGUAAGGGCUCCUUUGGCUGGGGACCAGAGGCGGAUAAAGCUUUCCUUAAGCUGAAAGACGCCAUGACAACAACGCCAACGUUAGCUUUGCUGGAUUUUACUAAAACUUUUGUCAUACAAACUGAUGCGUCCGGAGAUGGUAUUGGGGCGGUAUUGACUCAAGAUGACCAGCCAAUCGCAUUUAUGAGUCGCUCUUUGGGGGUUACAAAGAAGUCAUGGUCGACAUACGCACGAGAAAUGUUGGCUAUUGUGGUUGCUAUUCGGACGUGGAGGCCAUAUUUGAUUGGACGACACUUUAUUAUUCAAACAGAUCAGCGGAGCUUACGUUACCUCUUGGAACAACGGAUUUUGACCCCGGAGCAUCAUGACACGCCUAUGGGGGGGCAUUCCGGUGUGUUACGGACUUACAAACGUUUGGCUCGACUGUUUUACUGGCCAGCAAUGCACCGGGUCGUCAAACAGUACGUCGCUGAGUGUGAAAUUUGUCAACGCGCCAAGUCGACUUCUCUUGCACCGGCCGGGCUUCUCCAACCAUUACCUAUUCCGGAUCAAGUUUGGGAGGAUAUCUCCAUGGACUUUGUGGAUGGACUACCUCGUUCGAAUGGUCAUACAACAAUUAUGGUAGUGGUUGAUCGGUUGACAAAGUCAGCUCAUUUGGUUCCCUUGGCUCACCCCUAUACGGCUAAGGUCGUCGCAGCUAAAUUUGUUGAUUAUAUUGUCAAAUUACACGGUAUGCCCCGGUCAAUUGUCAGUGACCGCGAUCCCAUUUUUGUGAGCUUGUUUUGGAAAGAGUUUUGGAAAUUGGCAGGUACAAAGUUGCGGAUGUCUUCCGCCUAUCAUCCACAGACGGAUGGUCAAACAGAGGUGGUUAAUCGGUGUAUCGAGCAGUUUUUACGUUGUUUUGUUCAGAACCGCCAUACACAAUGGAGUUCUCUUCUUCCUUGGGCCGAGUUUUGGUAUAAUACUUCGUAUCAUUCGUCGACGGGUACUACUCCUUUCCAAGCUCUAUAUGGUCGGCCACCGCCUGCGAUUCCACAGUAUGACGUCGGUUCUUCGACGCUCGCAGAGAUCGAUGAGCAACUCGCUUCUCGCGAUGAGCUCCUUUCCGAGUUAAAACACCAGCUACAUAAGGCUAAUAACCGGAAUAAGCAGUUGGCCGAUGCAAAACGUCGAGAAGUUACUUUGGAAUGUGGCAGUUGGGUUUACCUUCGUCUCCAGCCGUAUCGGCAGCGGUCAGUGUUACGCCGGACGUCGCAAAAGCUUGCACAUAAAUAUUUUGGACCCUUUCAGGUCGAGGAACGGGUUGGUGAAGUGGCUUAUCGUCUCAAGUUACCUUCCGGGUCCCGAAUACAUCCAGUCUUUCAUGUUUCUCUACUUAAGCCGCAUGUGGGAACGACAAUGCCGGCGCCGGGAGCUCUUCCGCCGUUACGAGAGAGUGGCUAUUUGCACUUACAGCCGGAGCAAGUCUUACGUCGGCGAUCAGUUGCGACGGGGACCACAUCGCAUUCCGAGCUCUUAAUCAAAUGGAAAGGCCUUUCUCCGGAAGAUGCUACAUGGGAGGAGGAGAAGCAGGUUCACGCCAGCUUUCCGGAUUUCAUUUUGAACCUUGAGGACAAGGUUAUUGUUCGUGGGGAGGGUAUUGAUGGGCCUAUAUGUGGUAGUCGGCCCGUUCGAGAAAGAAGGCCUAAUCCGCGAUACAUGGAUUAAGCGGUUAUGGAGCUUUGGUGUUUUAGUUUUCGGUUUUGGUUUUAUAAUUUCCUUUUGCUUUGAUAAUUCUUAGUUAAGUUAGGAUUGGUGUUAUCUUAAUCUCUCCUUAUCUCAUUAGAACUCAAUAGUUCUUUCUGUAGGAUGUUUUGAUAUAAAUAUAAGAAAAGCCAAAAAGAGGUAGUCAUAACUACCCAUUCAACAAAACUUGUGUAUUGUGUUCUUGCAACUCUGAUUGGGACCUUACCAGUUUUAACCCGCCAUAUCGAAGAGCUCCAAUUAAAAUCGUCCAAGGGAUUAGGCAAAUGAUCAGGGGGAGAGGAAGAUGCUGCUGCAUCAGAAGUGGUCUCAUAGUACCCAGAUUUUACAGAAUACUCACCCGAAACAGAUGGAAGCCAAGCCCAGGCAUCAGGAGCACCUUUUUUACUGGGUCGGAGUUUGAGAAUUUCCUGGGCAUAAGCGGGAAGAAUUUUCAUGACCAGGUGCACAUUCCAUUCCCGAGAUUCAGGUAACAAUAAGUCGGAAACUUUUAGGUCUUGCCAGUCCUUUGUGGGACGACCUAUUGGUUGUUGGGGGGUUGAGAGAGAGAGAGCCAGGGACUAUUCCAAACAGAAAUGGAUUGUCCUGUGCCUAUGAUUUUACCUAGUUUGGGUUUAAGUAGAUCUCUGCCAAUGCAAAUGCCCUUCCAUCCAUGAGAAGCUGAACUUGGUACAGGGCUGUCUAGAAAGUCAGAGGUAGGACAGUAUUUGCCCAACAGAACUCUUGCCAAGAGGCAGUGUGGUUUAGUGAGGAUCCGCCAGCUCAGUUUUGCAAGGAGUGCAUCAUUAAAGCCCUUAAUAUCUCUGAAGCCGAGUCCCCCAUCUCUGAAGGAUUUGGUCAUUUUUGUCCAAGAGAUUCAACACAUCUUCUUCUGUCCUUUGUUUGAAUCCCACCAGAAUCUUGUGAGUGCUGACUGGAUACGGGAACAUAAGGAAAUUGGUAGCUUAAAGCAGGCCAUUGUGUAAGUGGGCAUAGCAGCUAAAACUGACUUGAGCAGAGUUAGCUUUCCAGCAGAGGAUAAGAAUCUUGAAGACCAGCUAACUGCUCUUUGCUUGAUACGGUCCACUAUCAUGCUGAAAACAUCCUUUUUUUUCCUCCCAAAAACCUCAGGUAACCCCAAAUAUUUACCUUUGCCUCCUUCUUUAUGGAUGUUCAGGAUUCUUUUCACCCUGUCUUUUGUUGCUUUUUUUGUCUUGGCUGAGAAGGUUAUAGAUGAUUUCUCUUGGUUUAUCUUCUGCCCAGAACCCUGUUCAUACUUCUGGAGGAUACUGGCCAACUUGUUGCAGCUCUUUGGCUCAGUACUGCAGAAAAACAUGGUAUCAUCAGCAAACAAGAGGUGAUUAAUUCGAGGGCUGCCCUUUGCAACUCUAAUUCCCAGUAAGCUUCCCUGAUCCUGAGCCUUACUGCAAAGUCCAGACAAAACUUCACUGCAGAGGAUGAACAGAUAAGGGGAGAGAGGGUCUCCUUGUCGAAUACCUCUCUGGGGUAUUACCAGUCCUUUGGCUUGCCCAUUUAGUAAAUAAGAAUAGGAGACAGUGGUUAUGCACUGCAUAACCCAUUGGAUCCAUUGGUUGUGGAAACCCAUUCUUUCAAGGACUGCUUUUAUGAAGUCCCAUUCCAGCCUGUCGUAAGCUUUGCUCAUAUCGGUCUUUAUCGCCAUAAAACAUCUUUUUGAGCCUUGGAAGUUUUGAGAUAGUGUAGGGUUUCAUGAGUUAUAAGCACAUUAUCUGUUAUUGCUCUCUGAAUAUGUAUUUUAAAAGAUAUGAAUUAAAAAGAUAUGUAUUUUAAAAGAUAUGAUAUAAAACAUCACACGCAUAAAUAAAUAUGUAUUUUAUAAGAUAUGAAUUAAAAAAAAUUAGAAGGGAUUGAGACGUAUAAACAAAUGAGAUUAUUAAAACAAAUGAGGCAAUUAAUUCUGCUAACAACCAUGUGAUUAGCUUAUAUUUAAUAAGCUAACAGUCUAGGUUUAUAUUUUUUUUAUAGUAUGGAGCUUUAUAAUUUAAAGAGUCGAUGCAAAGAUUUCUUUUAUCUCUUUUAGUGUAUCUUUUUUAAAUUACUCCCUUAAUAUAUCUAUUUUCAAAAAUAUCCCUGUUAAAUAUAAAAAAUUAUGAAAUUUUAUAUGAACUACAAGGUACUUUUAUAUAAUAACCACUACUGGAAAAUUCGAUACAAAUAUUUCAUAAUUUUUUAAAAGGUUUUAAAUCGUUUUUAAAAAUUUGAUAAAGUUUUUAAAAGGGGUUAUAAGGUAUUUUAAAAAACUUUAUAAGUUAUUUUUACAAUAUUUAUGAAAGUUAUAUAAAAUUGUAUACACAUACAAAAGUAAUUUGUGUGAAUAUUUAUAAGUUUAUAAACAUAUUUAGAUAGAUUUUAAAGUUUUUUUGAUAAAGUUUGAAAAUAGAGUAUUUUUUAAAAGUGAUAAUUUUAAAAUUUCCCCUUUAUUCAUUUAUAUUCCUUAAAACGUGUAUUUUUGUGUGUUUGUGUGUGUUUUUUUAAUUGAGGACUGACUUUUAUAGUAUAUAAUAAUAAAAGAUUCUUGAAGAAAAUAAGAAAGAUCUACUUCAAUUAUGCAUGUUACUGUGUUAGACAAAGGGUGUGGUUUGUUCACAUCUCUGAAAUAAAAUAUUAAUUAUAGUAAGAGAUAUUAUAUCAUUUGAGAGACACAUAAACAAAUAAACAAAUAAGCUACGGUGAUGUCUCUCUUCUAUUUUUUUUUGUCUUUUGUAUUAUAAAGUUUUUAAAUGGACAAUUCUUACAAAAAACUAUGUUUUAAAACGAAACAUUCAUCUUAAACGCUAUAUCUUAUCUUUAAAAAAUUAAUACUCUAAAUCUAAAAUAGUCAACUAAGAAAUAAAAAAUUUCUUCUUUAAAAAUAAAUGAAUUUUUUUUAAAAGAAAUAUUUCAUAGUAUUUUUUAGAAAAAUAAAAUAAUAGUGAAGUUUUAGAAAAAAAAAUAAUAAUAAGACAGAACGAAACACAAAAUCUUGAAAAAAAUAAUGUUUUGUAAUUUUUUUGUGUGAUUUUAGUGUUAUGCUAAAUAAUUUAUUAACAGUAUAAAUGAAAUCGUAUCGUGAUAAAAUUAUAAGUUAUAUGUUAAGUUUGAAAUAAUUCUGAUAAAUCAUUUAUUAUCGUGUUGAAUAAUUGUAUCAUAUUGUAGAAGCUAAAAACAUAUGACCUAUAAAUGUUGGAUAAAAAAGUCUAUAAUUUAUUGAUAUUUAGUACUUCAUCUCGCUAAGCUAUUUGUUACCAUAUAUAGAGGUAUUUUUGUCCAACUAAAGUAACUAUGAAAGGGAAUUAAUUUAAAAAAUACUAAUGUCAAAUACUUAAUUUUUCAUAUAUUUGAGUAUACAGAGUGGUAUUUCUCUAGUUAUAUUCCACAUAUUUAUGAUAAAUCACCGUAACUCUUGUAAAAUUUCUAAAACAAUAUAAGAUUUCAAAAAACAAAAAGGACAGAUAACUCAAAUAUAAAUAGUAAGGAUAAAUUACUCAUUUUUUUUCUCUGUCUCUUAUUUCCAAAAAUAUAAGUAUAAAAGCGGAUAAGUUGAUACGCAAAUUUCUAACUAUUCUGCAUUUUUUGAGUUUGUAAACAAUUUUCCGUCCAAUUGACUAUUAUGAGUUAAUUUAAUUUAGUUUGUUUUUGCCAAAAAAAAAAAAAAAAAAAAAAAACAGGACAAAUUACUCAUCUAAUCUACUUGUGAAAUAAUUGUCUCAUCAUGUAUUGUGGGACUGGUGAUAUCAUUGUAUUCACAUAUAUCUUGGGAUCUGGAGUAAAAGUAGAGUCAUGAACCAUUUAUCAAUUUUAUCAAAUAACUAAUAUACAAUUUUAGUACUUACAGGAGACGUGACAGGUGAUGUGUUCUUAAAAGAGGAUACUAGGAUGCUUAAUGGAAGAUAUUAGGAUGCAUUUAAUUUUCUCUUGAUCAUGUGCUCUUCUGAUUCAUUUGUAACAUUUGAAUAUAUAUAUAUAUAUCCAAAUAAUUAAUCUAAAUGAGAUUUUUUUUUUUUGAAUAAUCGAAAAGGUUCUGGGCCCGUAAGUACAUACAUCCCCUUAUGCCCGAAAUCAGAGCAUGUUAUAUAGUGUCGUCCCAAACGCUACUCGAACCGGCGACCUCUAAGCUUUUACCAGAGAUUUUUACCAAUUAAACUAUUAACACUUGAUUAUCUAUAUGAGAUCUUUCUUUUGGACCAAAGCAUUUUCAUUCGCUACAAAUUUCAAACGAGAGAAGUUCAUACAAAUUGAAGCUAAGACAAUACAAAGACAAUAAAGAUUUAGAUCGUAAGAUGUCCUCCUCAUAAAUGAUCAACUGGCACAGACCGUAAGCCGGAAGCCAAGGUCGAGAGCUUGUAAUAAGAGUUCUCUUCAUAUAGAAGGAGGAUGUGAUAUAUAUAGAUUCUCUAUAAAACGGAUCAGUAGUUGAAUACUACGGUCACAUAUAUUAGAUAUUCAAAAUUUACAGUAUAGAUUUGAUCUCCUCAUCUAAGCUUCGAUUUAAUAUACUAUUUAUCAAUACUUUACAAAUUUAACGGUGGGCGACGGGUUAUAUUGCAUAUCAUUUUUGAUUUAACGAGUUAUUUUUGAACUUUUGAGAAUUGAAGGACAAAGUUGCAAAACAUAACAGCUUUGGAAGUUAAUUCUUUUUUUUUUUGCAUAAAACCCUACUUCUAAAUUUCUAAUUACUGUUUCAUCGCCUAAUUAUUAAUUUGCACUUUAAAGCUAUAUAAAAGAAAAAAAUCCACUACUAUGCUGGUUUGUACUGGGCCUGGGUCAUAUCAGUUAGAAAACGAAACACUAAAAGCAGAGUCGAAGACUAGUGUAGUAGUAGUUGAUUUUUAAAACAUAACAUAAAAUUUAUUAGUAGAACAAUCUUUAUUCAAUAAAACAAACUUUCAAAUACAACAAACAUAAUGAAGUUGAACGUUUUUGAACACAUCAUAACAAAGCUGUAAGCAAAGUCAUGAACUCGGAUUCUCAAGAUUCAAAGUUAAAGGGUCGUUUCUAACCACAGGAGUACACUUAAACGGAUGAGCCAUGGCUAGAUUCAUUCCUGCAGUAGUUUCUUCCAUGUUAACCUUGUCUUCUUUGAUUUUCCAAUCAAAACACUGAACCAUCACACCAACCGCGAUACCUACAAAGAGAUAAGCUAGAUUUGAUCCAGGACAGCCUCUCCUUCCAGCUCCAAAAGGAAGGUACUUCAUCAUGCCUUGCUCUUUCUCAUCUUCUUGUCUUGAUCUCGAAGAAAGUAAGAACCUCUCUGGCUUAAACUCAUUAGGAUCUUCCCAAGUAUCAGGAUCUCUCAUCAAAGCAUAAACAUUAAUAACAAGCAUUGUCUUCUCUGGCAUGUAAAAGCCUUUGACCUCACAACUCUCUUGGAAUGUUCUAACCAAGAGCGGCGAUGGAGGGUGCAUUCGUAGUCCUUCCUUAACCGUCGCUUGCAAAUAAGGCAGGUUUGGUAGAUCAGUUUCUUUCAUCAAUCUUGAUUUCCCUACAACCGAAUCGAUUUCUUCUCUAAUUCUCUCAAGAAUGUUAGGCUUGUUAAUAAGUUCAGCCAAUAUCCAUUGUACUGUUUGCGCGGAAGUGUCAGUUCCUCCAAGGAAAAUCUCCUACAUAAGUACAUAACAUAUAACAUUGACAUUGAUUCUCAAUAAAUUGACCAAAUGUGAAGUGAAAGAAGAGUGUUCUUACCACAAACAAAGACUUAAUCUGCUUCCUACUGAUCUUAUACUCCGCGUUUUCGUCCCGGUAAGCUUCCAACAACAAAUCCAUCAUGUCCUUAUUUUCAUGCUCCUCAACUCUCUCUUCAUGUUCCACAAGAAGCCUCUCUAGCAAAUCGUCGAAUUCGCUAGAAACUCCCAUUAUCUCCUUUUUAAACAGCGGGAUUCGAGGAAACAUGUUUGCGAAAAAGAUCUUCUUCGUUAAGGCAGUUGACUUGACAAGCAAUUCUCUAACUCUCUCCGCCUCACCAUUCUCAUCUGAACAACUCCUCCCCAUACUCAUCCUACAUAUGAUGUUAUUAGUAAGCUUCAUUGCUUCCUUACUAACCUCAAUGCUCUCUUUCUUCAUUGCCUUAUCCAAAAGGUUCUCAUAAAACAUUUGUAGCUCCUCUGCCCGGCCGCCUCGUGAUUGCUCAAUCGCUUGCGGCCGGAGAAGCUUUGUAGCAACCAUCUUCUUCAUGAAUUUCCAGUAAUCUCCAUAAGGAGCAGUGAUGAAACCAGAAGAUCCAAGAAAAAGAGAGUCGCCGAGGGAAGUUGCAACUCGAGACGAGACGUUCACAUCAUGUGUCUUGUAGAUCUCGUAAGCCACUGAUGGGGAAGAGACAAGAACUAUAGGCAAAUUUACGACACGAAGAUAAAGAAAAGAACCGAACUUAGUGGAUAUGUUCUGAAGUGACUUGUGAGUAAGAUUUGAGAGGAGAAGAUGAAGAUGACCGAUGAUUGGUAGAGAAGGAGGGCUUGGAGGUAGAACACAGCCAGCGCGUGAGCCUUUUUGUUUCUUGAAUAAGAGAUAGUAACAAAGAAGUGAUAAGAUGAUGAAGAUGAAACAGUUUUGUAAGUCAAUGGUCAUUAGUGUCGCCAUUGUUGCUCUUGCUCAAGCUGCAGAGGAAAAAUGAAACAGAUCAAUUGAUUUGUUUAUUACCUAAAUAUAGAUUAUAUAAUAUGUUAUUUUUUGAACCAAAUUAAUGAAAGUUGAAAUUAUUUUCUUCUUAAUAAUCACUAUAAAAUAAUCAAAUCUCAGAAGUUAUUAUACUUAAUAUAAAGCGUGACAAAUGUGCCAAAUAAUAUUAUUUAAAAUUUACUUUCUCCGCACAGUUUGGUAAGGUACUAUACUACGGGGGGGACAAAGUACUAUACUACAACUUAUAAGGAUAAAAGAAAGAAAAUUUGUUUGUUUAACAUUUUUAAUUUCCAUUAUUAGUAUUAUUUAUAUUUAUAAAUAAUUUUAAAUUUUAAAAGAUAAUUAUAUUUAAUUAUAUUCAUUUAAUUCACUAUUUUAUUUUAUUUUAUAUGAAUCGUUAAAAGUGUUAUAGACUGUAAUAUGUGUUAUAUUUUUGAGAAACGCAUUAAUACUGAGAAAAUAUAUUAUUUAUAGAAUACGAAAGAAAGAGUUCAAAGAUAUAUAUAUGUUUUGAGUAGUGGAAAUACACCAAUAGAAAGCUAUACUAAAAUACAUUGAAGAAAAAGCUAAAUAAAAAAAGAAAAAUUAAUUAGUAAAAAUAGAUACAAAACAUAAUUAGUACUGACUUUGGAAAUGAAAUGCCUUGAGUAGGUAAAAACAUUUUAACUGCUAAUAUUUCGGGAAAUAAAUAUUCAAGUAAAAAUAUAAAUUAUUUCGAUGUGUAAAAGUUAAAGUUUCAGACUUUCAGUUUGACAAAAAAAAAAAAAAAAGUUAAAAGUUUCAGUUUUUUUGCAAAAACUUUCGUAUGGGUUAAUUUCAAAGGACAUGUAAUGGUUUUAUAUUGUGGGUUAUAGAGUUGGGUUCUAAUAAUGUGGACAGGGCCGUGCUUGCUACGGGCUAUAGCAUCACUUUGUCUAACUAAUAAUACUUGGGAUUCAUAAGUAGCCAGAUAUAAUAAUCUAUCUUUGUUAUAAAUCGUAUGCUAAGUUGUUGUUAGAUCUUGAUUGUUGCUUUGCAUGACCAUUAAAAUUUGAAAUAUCAUCCGCAUACAUAACUUUCUUUGCAUGAACAUUAGAAUUUUAUGAAAUCCUAAAGAAUAAAUAUAUGUUUCAGAGCUGUCUUUUGUAAAUCCUAAUCUGUUUUUUGUUUACAAUCAAUCAAAAUUAGAGGUGAGUGCGUGGGCAUGGUUUAUCUAAGUUUGAUGGAAUGUUUUUAUGCUUGUUUGAGUGUGCAUAUGGAUUUGUGGAUUUGGAUAUGUGGCUGCUUGUAUAGUUUUUUGUUGGUUUGCUCAUGUUUUACUGUUAUGGUUUGUGGGGAUCGGUUUUGGAGCAGGGAUUCAAUGUUAGGAGUGGCAAGAGUUGAUUCCAGGGUUUUUAUGGAGGCAGUAUCGACAUCAGGUGGUUAUCAAUCGAGACCAAUCGUGUUGAGGUGGUGAUCGAUCCUAGGAGGGGUAUCGAUCGACACUAAUGCUGGCUGGAGGCGUUUUAGCUUCAUAAAAUGUGUAGUUGACUAUUGUUUUGGGUUUGAUUAUGUGUCAUUGCAUUUUAUUUUUCUUGUGUGUAGAGCUUACUUGCUUAAUUGAUGGGAGGAUCGUCAUAUUGAGUAGUUGUGAUAAUAUUCAUGCAUCUCUUUUCUGUUGUACUAUAGGUAAACAAAAAAUGUGAUUAUGGUAUCAUGGUGAUAAAGAAAGGGUUGAUAUAGGAUCUCGAGUUAUUUGUUUUGGUAUAUGUUAUUUAUGUUUCCGGUGGAAUUUGGUUAGAAACAUGUUUUAGGAUGCUAAAUAGUAUUGUUUUAUUGAAUUAAUGGUUUAACUAAUUGACUUAUGAAGUUGAUCAGUUACUGGUUAUUGCUUUAGUUUGUUGGUUGUUUUAAUUUUUUUGUCAACAGUUUAAUUUCUAUUUUAUGGAAAAUAAAAAAUAACGAUGUAUAAAAGUAAAAAUUGGGUUUCUUUCAAUAAAGAAAAAAAAGCUUUUCAAUUUGCCAUCUUUUUCUAUUUUUGCCGUUUAAUACAUGUAGUUCGAACUAGAUUAAAAAUACUCAGGUUAUUUAAUUUUGUUUGUAAAACUGUUUGUUUAUUAAACCGUUGGUUGAAUCGUACUCAAUACUUAACUGUCGUUUACGGCAUACGAAAACGCUAACUUGAGUUAAGUCUUAUCUUCACAUGGUUAAGUAGACUAAUCGAAAAACAAUAUUGCCUUUCUAAUAUUUCCCCCAAAUUGAUUUAGGAUCGAAGAACCCUAAAUUUCGGUCUGGAAUAGUGCUCAUAUAUGAAGUAAUCCAUAGAUUAUCCUGGUUAUAUCCUUGAUUGUUAAAAAUAAUUCUUUCUUAAUUAUAAUUUGGUUCAAAAUUUAACCCGUUCAACCAAUAUUUCAUUAUUUUACUAAUCUAAUAGAUAUCAGAUUAUUUGACAUGUUGUUUUAAUUAACAAUAGCAUAAAAAACAAUCAUUGAAGUUAUAAAAUGAAUUUAGCUACAGAUCUAUGUAUUAAUUUAGUUAUAAAUUACAAAAUGAGUCAGGUACAGAUCUUUCACAUCGUCACAACUCACACCAAAUCUCUUCUAAUCUCUAUAUAUAUAAUAUAUUCUUAUAAAGACAAAAUCUUCUAUAUAUAUAUAUAUAUUAAAAUUAAGACAAAAUCGUCUUCACGUGAAUGAAUCAAUCAUGAAACAAUGUAAACUGAAGAUUCACAAUCGUCACACGUAACCAAUAUAAACCGUAUAUUUAAAACGAGUCAGGUACAGACUCAAUUAUGUGAAUAUGGACCAAUAUUAUCUUAUCUUAUCUUCACGUGAACCAAUCGUUGUUAUAUUAAUUUUAAAAAGUACAUAACGUGAUUCUCAUGGAAACUCUCAACGUCUCUCUAACCAAUAUAUACGGUGGAAUCAUUUUUAAUUUAGUUUAAUUUUAAUAUAUUGGUUUGAUUCCAUGCUGUUUUUAUAUUGGCAUUGCUAGAAAACAAUAAAAACAUAAAUAUAUUAAAGUAUUUUUUGUCCAAAAUAUAUAUAUAUAUAUUAAAGUAUUUAAUAAGUUACUAUUUAAAUUUUUUUUUAUAUAUAUUUUGUCAUUUCAUUUCGUCCUAAAAAAGAGGUAGAUGAUAUCUAGGUGGAAAUCAAAAGAUAGUAUCUAGAAUACUGAAUUUACACGAUUCUAAGCGGUUUAAACGUUUACAAGAUAAAAUAUUAUAUAUAUAAUAUCAUAGAUAAAAAAAUAUUAUGUAAAACUAUAUGUUUAGAGAAAAGGAGAAUAAUAAAUUAUAAACAAAUAUGAGAAAAAUGUUUGUUUAAUUUCUAUCAACAACAUAUAAAUAUUUCUAAAUAUAUAUAUGAAUAUAAAACUUACAAAAUUGAAAUAAUAUACUUAUUUAUUUAAAAAUUAUAAAGUUGAAUUUAUGUAAUUUUUGACGGUCGUUUAAAUGGGGUCUAGAUGACUGCUUUGACCGCUUUUUAAGAUUACUGGUACUAUAAUAUAAUUUAUCUGUUUUAUUAUAAAAUUUUAAUAUAAUUAAAUAUAAUAAUUUUAAACUAAAUUAUAUUUUACAAUACUAGUAUAGAUUGAUAUUUGAACAGUACAAAACUCUUUUUUUUUUGAGAAAUUGAUAACAAUAACCUUUUUAUGAUACCCUCUUUUAAAAAUACCCUCUUUUUUUACCAUUUUCAUUUUUGCCCUUUCUUAAUUUUUAAUGGCUAUUUUACCCCUAUUUAAAAUAAUAUUCUUUCACAAAGGAAGGAAUAUUCCUUCCAAAAAUUUUCCCCCAAAAUUUCCCCCCCAAAAAUUUCCCGCCAAAAACUUUCCCGCCAAAAUUUUCCCGCCAAAAANNNNNNNNNNNNNNNNNNNNNNNNNNNNNNNNNNNNNNNNNNNNNNNNNNNNNNNNNNNNNNNNNNNNNNNNNNNNNNNNNNNNNNNNNNNNNNNNNNNNAGUUUUUAUAAGUUUAUAACAGUUUUAAAAGGAUUUACAAAAAUUUUUAAAAGAUUUUAAAAAUUUACAAGGAUUUUUAAAGCUUUUUUAAAAGGAUUUACAAGUGUUUUUAAAAGGAUUUAAAAGUAUAUUUAAAGGCAUACAAAGAUUUAAAAAUAGUUUUAAAGGUUUUUAGAAGUUUACAAAGGUUUUUGAAGGGUUUACAAAAGUUUUUAAAGGUAUUACAAGUUCUUUAAAAUGGGUUUUAAGGNNNNNNNNNNNNNNNNNNNNNNNNNNNNNNNNNNNNNNNNNNNNNNNNNNNNNNNNNNNNNNNNNNNNNNNNNNNNNNNNNNNNNNNNNNNNNNNNNNNNGAAGUUUACAAAAGUUUUUAUUAAAUGAUUUAUCAUGGUUAUAAGUGGGUUAAAGGGAUUUACAAGUGUUUAUAAAUGUUAUAAAAUGAUUUACAAUGGUUUGCAAAGGUUUACUCAAGUUUUGAAAGGUUUUGGAUGACUUUUAAAAGAUUUACAAGAGUUUUUAAUGGAUUUUUUAAGGGAUUUAUAAAUAUUUACAAGGUUUUUUAAAGAAAUUGCGGAAAAAUUUUAGCUGAAAAUUUUUGGCGGGAAAAUUUUUGUCGGAAUUUUUUUGGCGGGAAAUUUUUUUGGCGGGAAAAUUUUUGCCGAAAAUUUUUGGCGGGAAAAUUUGGCGGGAAAUUUUUCGGAAGGAAUAUUCUUUUUGUUGGAAAGAAUAUUCCUUUUUCAUCAUGGGUUAUAAUAAAGGAGGGUAAUUUAGUCAUUUUGUACAUUGAAGAGGGUAUUUUUGAAAAUGAACACCUAGAGAGGGUAUUUGUAAAAAAGGGUAUCAUAAUAAAGGUUAGUUGUGCAAAUCUCCCUUUUCUUUUUGAAUAAUCAAAGAGUUCUGGACCGAAAUCCAUAUAUAAUUUCAGACCCAAAACCAAAACAUGUUAUAUGGUUUCGGCCUAGACAUUACUUGAACUGGCGACCUAUCAAUUUUUGCUAAAGAUCUUUACCAAUUGAGCUAUUAGCACUUGGUCAAAACUUUUCUUUUAUAAUCAUAUAGUAUUAAAAGUUAAAUUGUUUUCAAUAUAUUUUGCUACAAAAUAUAUUAUAUUUUUAUGAACUUCUUAUGCAUCCAUAACACUUCAUUUAAAAUCAAAUACUCACUUAAAAAAAAAAAAAAAAACAAGUCAGGUACAAAUUCACAAUCGUCACACGUAACUGAGAAAAUAUAUGGACCAGUAAGUAAACUAUUCAAGUGAACCAAUAAUGCAGUAUUUUAUAGUAUUAAUUCAUAGAAAAAUACAAAACGUGUUUUUCAUCGAAACUUUCAACGUUAUCUUUCUUCUAUUUUAUUCAGAAAUAUAAAUAAUUGGUAUUUUAAUUUGUUGAUGUCAAUAUUUAACCAUUAUAUCUCUUAUACGUUAAUUAUAAUAUAAAAUUAAUUUCAGUUUAUUAAGGGUGAAAAUGGUUGUACAACUUGAGAUGAAAAAUUUGUCAAAAAAAAAAGUUAUUCACCUGAUUUUUACUAUUUGACUUAAAGAAAUUGAAAUUUUUUGAUUCAACUUAUUUAACCCAAAAAAUUGAAGUAAUUAAAAAAUAAGAAGAGAAAAUUGUUCAACUCAGUCAACCACAAUGUAAUAUAUGAAUAAUAUUUAACACGUUUUAAUUUUUAACUCAAGUUUUCAAACCCUUCAACUAGAAGCAUCCAUUUGCACCUAACUAAAAGUUUUUAUAUUACUUAUUUUAAAAGUUUUUUUCUGAUUACAUAAACUAAUUUAAACACUGGUAGCGAGAAAUUUUUUGGAAGGAUGUUUAUAGCGAGAAAUUUUUGGAAGGAUGUUUAUAGAAGAAAAUUUUAGGAGGGAAUUUUUUUAGCGGAAAAUGUUUUUUUGGCGGGAAAUUUACGGAAACUUUUUUUGGCGGGAAUUUUUUUUUGCGGAAACAUUUUUGCUGGAAACACUUACGUUUAUAUUGUUCUAAUAGUAAACCUUUUGAAAAACUUCUCCAUAAUAAUUUAUAACAAAAUAAAAACAUAAAACUUUAUAUAAAAACAAAUUAAUAAAAACUAGAACAAUAUUUUUGCAACAUAGUGCGGGUAUUUACGUAGUAAAUCUCAAAUAUGAAAUAUACAAAAUGGUUAAAAAUCAACAUAAAUGGAUAUUAUUGUCCAGCACGUUUUAAAUGGACAUACAUAAAUGGACUACAAACUUAAAUGGACAUAAAUGGACACGGACGUAAACGGACGGACAUAAACAAACACUGACGUAAACUUAGAACUUCUAAGUUUGAAAGAAAAACUUAAAUUAGUCCUAUUUUGAGAAUCAUAAUUACUAGAGUUUAAUUAAAACGUUCAGUAGAUCUUUCAGUAAGGUUGAUUUUAAAUUUUUCUAUAUAUUUUGCUACAAGAUGUAUUAAAUUUUUAUGAAGUUCUAGGUAAUUACAUUUCAUUUAGAAAUCAAAUACGCGUUUAAUAUGAAGUUUAAUAUGAGUUAGGUAAUUACAUUUCGUUUAGUUUUUACAUCAGGUCAUAUAAUAUACUGUAGGUAGUUUGAUAUAUUAAACUUCCUACUUUACAUUGAUGUAGAUACACAUUUAACACAAUUAUUGAUGUGGAAACCAUUUGACAUCAUUUAAUUGACCAAAAUCCGAAUACUGUACUUCACAAUUAUUGAAGUUUCCAAUGCUCACCACCAAAAAUCCGAAAUUGACCAAAAUCCGAAUACACACUUCUAAAUCUACGAAAUUAAAAAUAUCCAAGUGUUCAAAUCCUUUAUUUAACUUUAAGCAAAUCUUGAUAAUCUUUGGAUAUAUAUAUGAAGCUUACAAUAGAACGUGUACUUAGAUUUAGGCUUAUUUCAUAUAAGAUAGACUAAACAUCUCCAAGUCAACUAGUGGGAGUAGCAUGAGAGAUGUUGAGAUUGAUGCCAUUGGGAAAAGAAACUAGAGGUGUACGAGUGAUCUCGCAGUCUUGUUCCAUAGAGAAUUCGUAGUUGGUAACAAGAUGGUGAAUGAAUAUUGCAAUCUGAAGUCUUGCAAAUUCUGCACCAGGAC
rnacentral:lncRNA from 1 species